AAGGUGUAGGUUCAUGAACCUAUUCUAAAGUUUCAAUCAAUUCACGUCAAUGUCCACACCAAAAAAAUAACAACAUAAUGUAGAGUAGUUUUCUUAAAAUAAAAAGGUCACACUAAAAUUUUAAAUGAGAUUACUAUUUAAAAAGUUAAGAAUUUAAUUUAUAUGCAUUAUCAAUAAGUCAAUAUAAAAAAAUUACAUUAUCAAUCAAUCAAAAUCAAUAAAAAAGUUGUCGUUGAUAUAACUACUAAAAUAAUUAUUAUAAGAGAUUAAAAUUUAAUAAAUUUAUUGUGCAUAGUAAUUAAAUAACAAUAAAAAAAUCUUUUGCGGGACUGUUGUGGAUGGUUAGCAAACACUAGACAAUAUAUGAAAUAUUAUGACAUGCAAAAAAAGUAAAAUACUAUAAUGUUUUAUCAUGCGAACCUCCUCUCUCAAUCCAAAACAGUGAUUCUACAAUCUUUCUUUUUAUGUUAAUACAUGUUUGGCUUCGCCUUAAAUUCUCUACAAUUGCGUUGAAAUACAAUUUAGCGUGAUUUUAAAUAGAUUUUUGCAUAUUUUACAUAUUAAAAAGUAGAUUUUUUUCGUAUUUGAUUUUAUGUUGGAGAAAUAAUUCUGUAUUUAAAAUUAAGUUUAAGUUGAAACAUCUUCUAAAUAACUUUUUUAAUUUCCAGCUUGUUUUAUAAUAAAAACAUUAAAAUAAAAGUCAUAUCACUUCAAAAUAGGUGUUUUCCUUAUAAUGUUGGUGUACUUUCCUUUUGAAGCCACUAAGACAAAGUAAUCAAUGAUUAAAGAUUGGGAUUUCCCAAUGGUAAUGGGAUAAGCUAUUAUAUUCUUGGUGGAAGGUUUCAUUAUGUAGAAGUUUGAGAGAAGCAAUAUUAAUGGGUACUUAGAUGAUGUCACGGUGUGAGGCUUCUAUUUGUGAAAGUUUGGACAAAAAUCAUUUAAUUCAUAUCGUCACCCAUUUGUGUUUAUGAGACACGCAUGAAUGAGAAUAUGGUUGGAACCUAGGGCAGUGGUGGCCCUCAGGGCAAUCUAGGUGUGCCACCGCCUGGGGUUCCCUAUUUUAGGGGUACUAAUUUUUUUAUAUAAUUUAUAUAAAUAUUAAAAUAAAUUUUCUAUAUGAUUUUAAAAUUAUAUAAGAAAUUAAUAUAAAAAUAAUAUUCAAUGUUGCGAGUCCCACAUCGAAUGAUUAACUAUUAUAAUAAAUAUUUAUAUAGUUGGGUAGACCAUCCCUUAUAAACCUCUUUUUAAGGAAAUCUUUUGAAUGCCUACACUUUAAUAAAUAAAUUUCUUUUAAAAAAAUAAUAACAUUAAUUAGUCAAUUAAUAGUGAUGUUUUCACUUAUUAACAAAAUUUAUUCACAAUUCUAAGAAAAGGAAUAAAAAAUUUAGGUACAAUGUUGAGCUUAAAAGAGAAGAGUAUAACAUAUUAUUUCCUUCAUUUGCUAUUAUUAGCGUUAACAUAAUUACAUAAACAAAGUUGUUGAACCAAAAAUUACAACCGUUAUGGUUAAAACUUCAACAAUAAAUCAAAACCAAACUUUAUGAUAUUAAGUUAUUUGAAAAUAUUUAAUUGUUUUCUUCAUGCAUGUAUAACUUGUAAAAUAAUAUUAACUACUGUGUUUAUUAUUGCAUAUACCAAAAGAAGCUAAUUUAUCAAUUUUAAAAUUGUUAAAAUCUUAUUUGAAAUAUUGACACAAGGUAGAUUAAAUAAACUUGUUUUGAUUUCUAUUGAAUAUGAUUAUUUAAAUCUUUUUUUAUUAUGAACAAACUAAGAAGGAUUUUUGCCCAAAAAAUGCAGAAGAAUAAAAUUCAAAUGACUAUGAGAAUAUAAUUUUUUAGGGUAUCAAAAAUCUCAGAGUCAACCCUAAAUUAUAGAGAAGCCAAAAUGGAUGACAAGUUUAUAACACAAAACAUUUUAUCCUAGCUAACCCUUUUAGAUAAGAAGGACUAAGAAGAUAACCCUUUUUAUUGCAUAUAUCCUUUAUUUCAUCUAAUGCUUUCUUUCUUAUUUUCUUAUCUUUCUCUUAAAUUACAAAGUUUGUUCUAUAAAAUUUACAAGUGUGAAGCAUUGUCCUUAAAAAUUUAAUCCAAUAAAUCAUUUUUGUUCUGUAAAUGAUACACAAAAUUUAGCUUGUAGAUGCAUGUUUAUGAAAAUGCACUACAAUAGAAAAGUGAUAACGUAUUGGUACGUACCCAAUUUUUUUAUAUAUAAAAAAAUGCCUUAGCUUCUAGCUAGCAUUUCCUAUAUAGCUGUAUCAUAGCUCACUAAAGUUUGAUAUUUUCCAUCUUAAUAUAACUUUUCAUGCUUUCACUUUGUCUUGCUUUGGGGUCUUGUUAGUAAAACUUCUUUGCAUGGAAAGAUGUUAAGUGAAAAGGGCCAGGGGAGGAGGGGUCAUCUUUUUCAGGGAAAGUUGAGAAAGAAAUCCAAGAAAGUUGAAAAUUUUCCAGACGUAAAUGCAUGAAACUAGUUAUAUAUAGUGAGAAUCAGAAAAUAAAAGUUUUCGCUAAUUACAUGAGUGAUACGAGAAAGACAAAAAAAAUGGUAUGAAAGGAACAUAUAAUGAACGCUUAGGUUACAUGUCAUUCAUCCAAAACUAGCCAAUAACAUCCAAUCACUCACUAGUCCUCUAAUAAACUGGUCGGUGACUUAACCUUUUGCUAAAAAACAUGACAUGAAAGCAACGUAUCGAAGAGUUGAAGACUCGAUGGCCAUGCGCGACACAUCAUUUACACUAAAAAUUAUAAUUAAGCAAAGCAUCUACAUUCCUAAUUAGAUUAUGCUUUGAGUAAUGUUAUAACAUUACUCGCAACAUGAUCGAAUUUAAAUUUUGAACAUUAGUGAUUAUUAAUUUAUUAUAAUUAAAAUAAAAUAUGAUUUAAAUUAACUUUUUUGUAGAUAAUAACAAUAAUUUAAAUUUGAAAAAUUAUAAAAUCUUUUAAAAAUAACUACUUCGACUCUGGCAUGUUGUAUAUAAAGAUCAAACAUUGAAGGUGAUAUCUCAGAUGGCGCCUCCCAACCCGUGCAGAUUGAUUAAUAGUUUUUUUUUUUCUACACUUAUCUGAUUUUUUGUAAUACCCGUUUCGAAAAAAAAUCGCAGACUUUGGUUAAGCAACCAUUUUAAAAAAAGAAAGGUCACGUCCACAUUCUAUACAAAUAACUUCAGAGUCAGAAGAGAUACAUGCACUAUUAAAUCUUUGUUCAAUAUCUCAAACUAUUUUGGAUAAUAAGACACUGAAUAUCCAUGUUAAUCAGAAAAUGAAAAGAAGAAACAACUCAUGCCUAUGCGAAAAAUAUACAUGACUUUGGAUUUGAAGAAUUGUUAGGAUAGUCUUGUACAAAAAUCAACACUAGUGAACAGUAAAAUAAUAUCCAACUCAUGAUGAUGGUCACAUUCAGUAGUUAGUAGUCAUUUUCCUGCAUGUCGUGUUCUUAUCUUAGAUGCCGUCGCAAGUGGAUCAUCAUCAUCAUUAAUAGCUUUGUGGCAUCACGUGCGGUAUUUCAUCUUUACAAUUUGAUUUUCAAAAUAUUUUAUCAUGUAAAAGUAUUCUAAUUUUAGUUAAAUUUAAAGCGAUUGUUUCUUAAAUUUUCUAUUUUAAAAAAACAUGGUUAAUUUCAUCGUAAAGUUCUUAAUUCAAAACAAAAGUUAUAGUUUAUUUAAUUUUUUUUAUCAAAUGUACGUAUAAAGAUACAUUUAUUUCUAAUUAAUCAAAUUUACCCUUAUAAUAAACUAACAAUUUAAAAAACAUAAGUUGUUUAACUAGAGACACAAAAAAUAAUAAUAAUAAUAAUAAUAAUAAUAAUAAUAAUAACUAAUUAUCAACAAGUAACUAGUCUAAAUGAUAUUAGAGUCUCCAUUUUAUUAAGUUAAUGAAUACUCCACAUUAAUAUUAUGGUGACUUAAUAAAAGAGACAAAUAAUUUUAUGAAAAGUGUUAUAAACAUGCUAUUUUGCACAUUCUUUUAAACAUAUUGGUUGGUUAAAAUUUAUUAAAAAUUAUAACAUGAGUAUUAAAUAUGAUGUGAGGUCCACCAAAAAAAAUUAUUUUUAAAUUUUGUAAUUUUCAAUAAUUUUUAAUCAAUAAAAGAAAAUGUAUUUGACAAAUAUGAUUAGGAAUAGUUUAAGAAAUAUAAAUCUUUUGUUAUACGAAUAACAUUUUACUAAUAAUAAAAAAAGAGUUGCUCCUUCAUUUUAUGUCAUACGAAUAACUUAUGUAAUAAUUUAUAAAUUAUUGAAAAGAUAAUGAGUUAUUUAAUGGAGUAUAUCUUGCUUUCUAUUAUUUUGGAUUUCACUUAUAUUUUUUAGAAAUAAGAAUCUUUUAAGAAUUAUUCGAUUGGAAAAAGCAUACUAAAUACAUAUAUCACGUAAAAUAAUAAUGACAUGAUAUUAUAAACAAAUAAAACAAAUUCCAAAAUAUUAUAUGUAGUGUAUUUGUUUUUUUAGAAGAAUACGUAGUAUAUUGUUAAAGUAUCAAAUAUGCUCUUAAAAAUGUCAUGUAUGACAAAAAGUUAAUGGUAGUAUUAAAUUAUGAUUUUUCAGUCAAAAAAACUAAAUUAUGAUUUUAAACGUGCACCAAUAAAAGAAAAAAAAACUGUAGACGAUGUCUUCCUUAGCAAUUAGCAUCAGCCAACUUCAACUGACGUGAACGAUGGCGUCGGCAAUUAUCUCGUGAACUCUUCUAGUAGUGUUGGGUGUGGACUUUUUUUUUAUAGGUAAAUUAAAUUUUAUUAAAAUUAAGCUAAUUGUAACACAGUAAGUGUACAAAUAAUAGAACAGGAACUACAUUUCCAUUCAUAUGCAUUUUUUUCGAAUGUUUAUUCUGUUUCUGAAACUAUAGGUUACGAAUUACUUCAUAUGCACGCAGAAUAAUUCCCAUCUACAGUACGAACUAUCGUAACUACUCCAAACCUGCUACAACCGACUAUGUAAAUUAACAACCAUAACUCACUCGAUAUAUAACAGCAACUACAACAGAUUUGCUAACUAACGCAUUCACAAUGCAUAGUUAUUUAUAAGGUUGCUUAAAUGUAUUUUUUAUUAAAAGUUACAAGUUAAUAUGAUGAAUGAAAUGAGAAUGGGAGAAAGAAAGAGAUAAUGCAUUUAAGAAUCUCUCGCAUUAAUAAAAAUUAACAACUAAUAUCUUAUUUUAUUCAUUACACGGAUGAUAUUUAUAAAUUUUAUUGAAGAUUAAUUUUUGUCAAAAAUUUUAUUCAGCUACUUCCAGUGGAUCCUUUCCUAGUAAUGUUUUUCCUUUCAUCUAUAAAACUUAAAUUCAAUAUAUUAUUUAAGAAGAGUUCAGUCAAAUUAUCAACUCCAUCAUAUCAUAUACUUAAGUUCAUAUCAUAGUUUUUAUUAUGUUUAUUAGUAUAAUAAUUUUGAAAUAUAAUGUUAACAAUAAUAAAAUAAAUAAUAUAAAUAGUGUAACAGCUAAAAUAGCAACCUAAUGUAACAAAUAUUCAAAACAUAAUAUAAAUAGAUAAAUUUAGCAUUUAUCAAUAUGAAUAUCUUGAAAUAUAAAUUUAAUUAUUUUUAAAAAUAUUUUUUUAUCAAUUUAAAUUAGUUAUUAAAAAUUAUAUAUUAAAACAUAUUGUGAAUUUUAAUUAUAAUAUAAUUUAUACAUAAAAAAUACUACACGAACUAAAAUGGUGAUAGUGUAAUUCUCCCUUGCAGUUUCCACUGAGUCUUUUCCUGCAAGGCUCUCGUUAAAGUUUUAAAAACAUGCGCUAUUAACUAUAGGCCUAGCCUGCCGGUACAUGCGCUGCCAUGUCUGCAAUUUGCAAUCAGCCAAAAUCUUCUCAUAUCCUUAGUCGGUUAUUAGAUAUAAUUAGAUUGGAGUGUUUCUAACGAGAGAAUAAAUUAUGAUUUAUUUUACAUUUAAAAUAUAUUAUAGUAAUAAAUAGAGAAAAAUAAAUUUAUGUAUUUGAAUAUAUGUUUUUGAAAUAAUAAUUUUUUUCAAUAGUAUGAAAACCUUACCUAAUUGUAAUAUUUAUUUGAUUAAAUUGAAUUCUUUAAUUUAAUUGUCAAAUAAAUUUUUUUCUCUUGCAAAGAUUUAAACAUUUAUUUGUAUAAUCCCAUAGUUUUAAUGUUAAAUUGAUAGUAAAUUAAUUAUAAUUAAUUUACCAAUCAAGAUAGUUGUCUAAUACUUUUUAACAUUCCGAUAAUCUAAAUAUUAUUGUUAAACUUUAAUAAAUUAACACAUUUAAUCAAUGAAUGAGUUAAAGAAAACAUUUUUUUUUAGUUCAAUUGUUCUGUCCAAAAUCUUAAUUUUAUCAUAUAACUCAAAUUCAUUGGUUAGAGUUGAUGAAUUUUGUUUGAUUAAUCAUUAGUUCUACAAAUAUUUAAUCAUAUCUAAUAUUCAUUCAACUAGUUUCAUAAGAAAUUAGAUAUCUGAAAUUAAAAUAUAAUAAAUAAUUUGUUAAUUAAUAUGACAAUCUCAUGUUAAAGGAAAUUAUUAUAUUUAUUAUUAAGAAAUUUCUAUCGACAUACAAAGAUAAUAUUAACUAUUAGAAAUUAUCAAUUAAGUAAGUUCAAUGAUGAUAUCUACAUAUACCUCAUUCAUAUAUGUAAUUUAAUAAAUAAGAUAUAUUAAUUUUUAUUCAAUAAAGACCUUUACAUAUAUAUUAAUAUAUUUGAAUUGUUGAUGUUUUAUUUAUAAUAAUUUUACGAUCAAGAAUAAUUUAAAUUAAAACUAUAAAAGAGUCAAAUAAGUGAUUUUUUUUAAUUAUUCUAUCGAACUCAACUCCACCCAACUAAGGGUUGGUUAUGUUGUUAAAAAAAAGAUGAAUCUUACCCAAUUAAAUUUAGUUGAGUUGGAUUAAAAUGUUGACUAAAUUAAACCUAAUCUAACUCACUUACAUUUACAUUCCCAGCGUGUAUAUAAAAUUUACUACAAAUUUAAAAUGAGUAGUUUAAUGUAUAUUUACAUAUUAAUGGGGCAAUGGCAUAUAAUAAGGUAUCCAUACUCGUGUUACUCAUAAUUAAAAAUAAAUUAAAUAUUAUUAUCAUAUAUAAAGUAUGUUACUCUGAUUUUUUAUUUUUAUUUUUAUAGGAGAAUAUUAGUUUGUUAAUUUUAUUAGAAAUAUGGAUUUGAGAUUUGAACUUGGGAUUUUUUCCUCCUCCCCUCAGUUUUAAGCCCCCAUUUCUAACUCCUAUGUGAACCUUAUAUUUCAUUAAUUCAUUUUUAGUAUAAAUAUAUGUUUAUUUUUUUUUUAAUUUCAUUUAUUGUUCACUUCUUUAAAUUUUUAAUAUAUUAACAAAUAUGUAAUGAUACAUCAAUGACUAGUCCAAAUAGUAUUCAACUUAAUUUUUUUAAGUAAGAUUUUAAAUUUAAGGAUGGAAAAAAAAUCAAAUAAUUAAUACCUAAUGAUACUUAUACAAUUCAUAAAUACUUCUUUAAUAAAUAUUUCUAACACCAUGUGAAUACAAAUUAGCGAAAAAUAAUUAAUACUCAUACUUUUCGAUAACCCCGUAAGUAAAACUACAAGACUAACCCUUAAAACGUAAAUAUUAUUGAAGUAGGUUUUACCUCAGCUAGUAAAAUGGUACAUACAACAAGAAAAUCAAAUUUGCCAACAUAUUUAAGAAUGUUUUACCUUAUAUUUGAUACGCUUUUAUUUUACCAGAUUUGCUUGUAAUGUGUUUAUAAUUGUAAGUUUAAUUACUAAUUUGUUUCAUUUACGUGCAUAUUUUUUACAUUUUAGUUUAUACAUCUUCAAAUUACUUGUUUUAAUCUUUACACAUUUUUUAAUAAAUUUUAAUCCUAAUGCUUACGGACACUAAAAUGAAUUAAACAGUAUAUAUGUAAGAACUUUAACAAGUUAAAAUUUUUAAGAUAUAUGUAUAAGAACUAAAACUAAUAGUAGUAACUUUUAGGUAUAAAAGCUAAAAUAAAUGGUUUAUGUAAGUAUAAGAAAUAAAUAAGUAAUUAAACUUAUUGGAAAAAAAGUAAUUAAAAUUAAUUUUGUAAACAGAAAUAUUUAACAGGUUGCUUCGUGCGGCAAAUAUAUUCAAUUAGAGUUUUAUUGCAAUAGGAAUAAGUACACCAAUGUCUACCCACGUGCUCCAAUUCUCCAACUGCUAUCAUCGAGGAAAACCAGAAAAGAUGAAAGAAAAUUCUGUCACCUCCAUCCUUUUAAAGUAUUUUUAUUACCACGUGUUGAAAUUCACGUCUUUCUUCUCUCUCAUCCCUUUCUCUUCUCCCCUUCUAUUUUACGCCCCUCCUCUGUGCUUAGCUCUCUUCACUCUGUUUCCAUUGAGAGGAAAAAAAAAAACAGCAUGAAGAAAAUCCGCAACUCCAUCCUACUCUUAUCAAUCUUUCUGGCAGCCUCGUCGGCGGUUUCAUCCGCGGAGCCGAUUCCUUCCGCCGCCUACGACCGCGUGCUUUUCCCGGACCGCCGAUGCCAGAAGACGGUGUCGGAGAACAAGACGCGACGAGGAUCCUCUGCGGCAGCGGCGGCGGGGUGUGAGGUGUGGAGCGAGUCGUGUUCGGAGGCGGUGCUGAGCGUGGCCCGGCGCGCGGAGACGGCGGAGUGGUUGAAGAAUAUUCGGCGGAAGAUCCACGCGAAUCCGGAGCUGGCGUUUGAGGAAAUCGAGACGAGUCGUUUGAUAAGGGAGGAGUUGGAUCUUAUGGAAGUUAGUUAUCGGUACCCUCUCGCCAAGACCGGUAUUCGAGCCUGGAUCGGCACGGGGGGUCCGCCUUUUGUUGCGAUCAGAGCUGACAUGGACGCACUUCCCAUCCAAGUACUACUAGCUUCUUCCCCUCUCUAGUCCUUAUUAGACUAGUACUACUACUAUUUAUUUAUUUAUUCCUCCAAUUUUUCUCUGUUUUUCAUCAUGCCUUCUUGAAAACCUAAAAUCAAAUAAUAAUAAAAUAAUAUCGGAAUAAGAAAAGGCUCAAUUAUUGGACUUGUUACUUCUUUGAUGUUACAUAAUUACUUUGUUGCCUAAGAAUGUUUAUCCCUAAUGCUAUUUUUCUUAAUUUUUAAUUUAAAAUAAAAAAAACUUAUUUGCUAAAGAAUUAUGGGAAUUUGAUAGUGAUGGAAAGAUUUAUGUUUAAAUGUUUUUAUUUGAUUGCGAAUAAAUUAUAAUUGUAUUUUUUUAGUUGACAGAGUAUACAUCACAAGAUCUUUGAUUUGUCUUUAUCUGUUUCACAUUAAUGAUAAAACUUUAGAUAUAUCUUAUUUAUCUUAUUUAUUUGAAUGUGUCAAUGUGGUAUAAGUAAUAAAAAAUGUUACUUUUUAAGUUUUACAGUAACUUUUGUAUCUUACACAAAUACAAACAAAAAUAAACUGAAUUACUUAUAUAUUUUUGUAAGGGAAGGGGGAAACUUUUUUUUCUUUUGUUGGAGAGAAGGUAUUUCUAUUCUUGAUGUUUUUUUUAGAGAGUAUUAAUCCGUGUUUUAUGUAAUUUUUUGUAGUAUUUUGCUUUUUAUUAAGUUUGUUCAUAGCUUUUUUAAACCAAAAAUAGAAAGCUUCAUAGGUUUUUCCCAUCUACUUUUGCCCUACUUUAUUACUGCUAAAUAUUGAUUCACUUUCUAUGCAUUCAGAAGUGGGAAAAAAAAGCGCUUAACUUUGCACUACAAUAAAGCUCUUAGCUAUAAUAAAUACUCUUUGAUAGUAAAUUGCAAUUUAUUUUUCAUAUAAAACAAAAUUCCAUCUCAUCACUAGUUGGGAUUCGUUGUAGGAAGCUGUGGAAUGGGAGUACAAAUCUAAAGUUGCCGGCAAAAUGCAUGCUUGUGGGCACGACGCACAUGUGGCUAUGCUUAUCGGCGCUGCCAAGAUUUUGAAAACUCGAGAGCAUUUAUUAAAGGUUUGUUCUUCUUCCCUUAUCUUAUUCAACAAAGUAUUCCACUAUUUCGUAGAAUUAAUUUGGGACAGUUCCUCUAUCAUACUUUACAUUUUAAUUUCUUAAUCAGCCACAAUUAACACUUAAGAAUUUUUAUUUAUAAUUACAUAAAUUUAAUUAUUUGUUCAAUUUUCUGAGUAAGAAAACUUAUAUACUUUAGCUUAAUUACAAGGCCAUGAAAUCUAUGAAAUUUGACUGUAAUCUCUUCAAUUAUUGAAUUACGGGAAGGAAUAGAAGCUACUUCACACAUUAUGUUUACCGUUUUUUUACAUUGAUAAAUAGGAACAGAGAGAGACAGAGGAUUCACUUCCUUUUCCAAGCACGGCGCCUCUUUAUAGUGGCAUAACUUUUAUUUUUAUGAAUAUGGCAUAACUUAUUUGAGACGACACUUUGGCCAAAAAGUCAAGUCCGUUACACUUCCUUUGCCUCUUUAGUAGUAAAUCUCAACAAUUCUAUUGCCCUUUUCUGCGGAACACACAAAAUCUAUUACUUUCCGCGGCUUAAGAUAUAUUGCCGCUAUCAGUUAAUGUCUCCCCCAAGGACAGACAAUUGAAAGGUUUAAUCUUAUGAACUCAAUUGGUGGACCAUUUAAACUUGAAUCUGAAAAAAAUGGCCUUCUUUUUGUUUUUAAUUUGGUUCCUUUUAAAAAAAACCCUCAAUGUUUUACAAAUUUUCUUUCAUUUUGUUUUCCUUUCUCCCCUCUCUCAAUUUAUGAAAUGUCAAGAUUUUUAAGGUGUGUUCACGUGUUUUUAUCAACUUGGCGUACCUGUGUGUUUGUAAUAUGUGUUCAAACACACACUAACGUGGUGUUUUUUAUUUAUUUAUUAAUUAGUUAUUUUAAGAAUUUACUUUUUUUGAACUGUUACAACAAAAAAUUUACAUUAUCAAGCCAUCAUAAGUCAUUUUAAAUAUGGCUUUGAGUUUAAGUGAGGUAUAACGUUACCCGAUCUACCCAAUUACACACACACAGUUGCAUGUUUAAUUAUUUUAAAAAUAUAUAUGUAUUGAAGAAAUAAUGCAGGAUGUAUUUUUUUAAUAUUUUGUUGAUAAAUCUGAUUACCAAACUUAAUUUAAUUCAUUUUUUUCAUUAAAUUUAAUUCAUUCUUGAUUAAGUUGCUUUUAUUCAACUUAUGCAUUCAAAAUUAUCUUAACCUAAUUCAAUCUAUUUUGAUUGGUUGCGAUAUUUCUUUGAAAACUUGACCCGACUUGUGAUUUGUCUUAAUAUUUCGAGUAUGAAAUUGACCCUCAGCCAAAGUUAUGAGUACUCCUCAUUCAAAAAAUAAAGUUUUAACUUUUAUGCACUAAUAGUAUAAUUAUUUUUUACAUGAUCAAAUAAUUAAAAAUGAUUUUCGUAAUCCUAUAUGGGCCAGUUUUCCGCCAAUGCCAAACACAACCGAGAUUAGAUAUUAUAUUUUCAUUUCUGAUGAAAAUGGGUACGGAUUUGAUGGUGGUUUUAAGGAAGGAGUGUGAAUCUUAACCUUUGGUCGGGUAAGAAAUUAAAGAGAAAGGUAGAUAAAAAUAAUUAGCCGUGUUUAAAAGAAAAGUUAAGAUGAAAAUAAUUAGAUCUGCCAUAUUAUUUUUGACUUAUUUUCACCCUUUUUUUACACCUCUCUUCAUUUUUCUUCUAAUUCUCUUCAAUUAAAUAUAUUUAACUUUUACUUAUUUUCACUCAUUAUUUUUAUUUUCAUCUAUUCUAUAUCUUUUUUCUCUAUCAAACCCAACCUCAUUGAAAUGCUUUAUAUGACUAUUUUUAUUUAAAAAUUCUCAAAUCUUCUGAAGCAAUGUUCGAUAGUUAUUGUGUGGGAUGUUUUUGGUUUAGAAGAUAAAGUUAAGGAAAUUUCUUUAAAUUAAAGUACACUCUAAAAGAUGUAAGUCGGAAAAAAAAUACAAAAUUCCAAUUCAAAAAUAUUAUUUUCAUCUCAAAAAACACUGUCUCAUUAAUAUAUCUGGUACUCUUUAUGAGCAAAGUUUGCUUUGCCGUGAAUUGGGCCGAGCACGUUCUUUUAAUAGCGCUAGCCUAGGGCAUUUAUCAGUUCAGACCUAGCCUAGGGCCUAGGGGUAUUAAUUCAUAUGCCUUUUCUACGGUUUUAGUAUUUGAAGAGAAGAGAAGUCUUAGUUAUGCAUUAAAAUUAAUCGCAUGCCAUUGCCACUUGCCACUUGUCACAAGUAUAAAGAGGAAGGGAACAAGUUAUUUGAUUAGAAUCUUCCUUUUGGUUUAUUAUAUUUUACUAUUAUUUUAUUUUAAUAUUUUAUAUUUUUAAAAAUUUUAUUUUAAUCUUUCAUAUUUUUAAAAUUUUUAUUUUGAUACAUUAAGUUUUAAAAGUUUUAUUUUGAUUUUUUAUAUUUUUCAAAAUUUUAUUUUGAUCUUUUAUGUUUUAAAAAAAAAUUAUUUGGUCAUUUCUUCUAAUUUUUGUUAGUAAACACAUGUUAGUGUGUUGUUAACUUUAAAUUUUGAAAUUUGAAUUAAUUAAUAUAAAAUAGUGGCAGUUAAAAAUUAUUAUUAUCUUUUUAAAAUGUAUUUAACCACUUACUUUCUUAAUCUUAUGUCAUCUUUUACUACAAAUUUCAUAAUCAUCACAACAUAAACAAUGUAAUAAUAGUGUACUCAAAUGUACAAUAUCUCGAUCACCGUAGUCAUUAUGAAUAAGUGUUAUGUCAUAAAUACGUCAUGAUUUAACACCAACAUAGAUUAGAAACAUUAGAUCUCGAUGACGAUGAAAAAAUUUAGAUUUGAUGUCGCGAUAACAAUUUUAGGUCUUUCUUCAAUUUUAUCAUAUUAUUUUAAAUUAAUUAUUUAAAAAUUAAUAGAAUAAUAACGUUUUAUUGAAAAAAAUGAGAAGAAAAGAUUAAAAUGAAUCUUUGAAAACAUAAAAGUUAAAAAUAAAAAUUUUAAAAUUAAAUAUACUAAAAUAAAACUUUUAAAAUAUAAAUAAUCAAAAUAAAACUUUUAAAAUUAAAUAUAACAAAAUAAAAAAUACUAAAAUUUAAUAAAUCAAAAGUAACAUUUUUAUUACUAUGGUAGGGGCCACUGGUAGGGGGUAAGCCAACGAACGGGUGGGGAAUCUUGUCUACGGUCGGGUCUACCAUAUCCACAUGCACAUGCACUAUCUUUAGAACUUACACAAAACACACAAAAAGGCUAAAGUUUAAGUUGACUGUCAGAUGAGAGGAAUCUUGCUACUACUGGCGAGCGUAGAUUGUCAUUUAAGUAAAAGUUAAUCUUUAUUUUUCGUGUAACCUAAAAUCAAUAAUACCGUACUCAAAUACACUAGUAUUACAUUUUCUUAGGUGUGUGGAUCAUUUCAUUCACAAAUGAUAAGCACUAUUAUUAAUAUAUUUCUAUUUGUAAAUAUUGCUUCAAAUUUAUUGAGUUUAUUUCUUGAUUUUAUACAUUUUCUAGUGUGUUAGAAGAGUGUGAUAAUAAGUUUAUUACAAGUACUUCUCUCAACAAAAUGCCAAAAUCUAAGAAAAGCAACAAUUAUGUAUUUUUAUAUAUUUGUAUAAUAUUUUUUUCUUUUUUAAGUUUUCUCUUUCUUUUUUCUUUUUAUGAUAUUAUAUUACAUCACUUACCAUUUCUUUUAAUUAUGUAUUUUUAUAUAUUUGUAUAAUAUUUUUUUCUUUUUUAAGUUUUCUCUUUCUUUUUUCUUUUUAUGAUAUUAUAUUACAUCACUUACCAUUUCUUUUAUUUUUAAUUAUCUUUUUCUUCUUCUACUUCUACACUGCAAAAAUGACCAGUACAAAAAUUUUUCAUAGUGAGAAAAUGGAACUUCCUUUCAUUUAGACGCGGGAAGAAAACAGUAAAAAAAAGAAGAGUAUGUGCCGAAGUCAUGUAAAAGUUUUUUUUUCGACGAAAAUAAAAUAGAGAAGAGCAAAAAAAUAAAUAAUUGAAAAGAAAAAUUCACUUCCCCAUUGUUAUACUAAAAGUAAAAUGAUACAUAUUCAUUUAUUAUAUAAUUUCAAUUUUUUUUCUUUUCACUUUUCUUAUUAAUUAAAGAAGGAAGAUUUUUUUUUCUUUUUAUCUAAAUAAAAAAUAAAAAAUAAAAAAUUUGACCUUUUUUUUUUCUUUUCAUUUUUAUGUAUCCAAAACAAGCAGAAGAGUUCUCUACACUUCUGUUAACUACAGAGUUCAUUCUUAAUAGAGCUGUGGAUUAACGGGCAGUGACUCAAACUUACCAUAACCAUCUGGUGAAGAGAAAAAACACUGGCAGGGAACUCCACAUUCUUGUUCUUGUACAAUAUUCUAAAUGCAAUCUUAAGUGUCUAUCUCAUUGAGAUGCGGAGACUAAUAUAUACGUAGAUAAUGAGUUUUUAUAUAGAGUUGUUCAAUUAUAAAUACUGUUUGAAUUGUUUUAAAAUAAUUAUUUGUCAAUAAAUUUAUCAUUCAUGAUGAAUUAUAAUUCAUGAUGAAUUAUAAUUAAUGAGGAUAAAACUUUUUUACACUAAGGUGGAUAACCCUUUUUCUCUUUUAGAUAAAACACAAAAUUUAACGUACUAAGUAAAAAUUUUGAAAAGUUAUAGGGUCUAGGAAGAUUUGUCGUUUAAUACUAAAUAAAAUAACAAAUUUAUGAAGACUAUUGUGAUUUCAAUUUCAAUGCAAAUAAACCUGUUGACCUUGAUAAGUUUCAUUAUUGGGAAUAAUGGGUUUACACUUGUCAUAAAUUGAACUCUACUUAUGUCCAACCAGGCUUAGUAGUAAUCUUAACAAGAACAAUGUCUUAUGUCUAAUAAGUGAUAACCUUGUUUUGUCCAUAACAGGGAACUGUAAUUCUGUUAUUCCAGCCAGCAGAGGAAGCUGGUAAUGGAGCAAAACGAAUGAUGCAAGACGGUGCUUUGGAGGACGUUGAGGCUAUAUUUGCAGCUCAUGUAUCCCAUGAGCAUCCAACUGGUAUAAUUGGAUCCAGGCGUGGACCCCUCCUUGCAGGUUGUGGAUUUUUCAGAGCUGUCAUUAGUGGCAAAAAGGGCCUUGCUGCCGAUCCUCAUCGUUCUGUUGAUCCAGUUUUGGCUGCUUCAGCUGCAGUUAUUAGCUUACAGGGUAUUGUCUCCCGCGAAGCAAAUCCAUUGGAUUCUCAGGUUUUGCUUCAUAUCAAUAUACCUUCUUUUCAAAAUUUCAAUCCCUGUUUGUGUGUCUUUUUGUUGCAUACCUUCUCUGACUAAGUACAUGGCUCCCUUUACAACUUUAGGUUGUCUCUGUGACUUCGUUUAAUGGAGGCAACAAGCUUGACAUGAUACCCGACACAGUGGUCCUAUUGGGGACUUUCAGAGCGUUCUCUAACACCAGCUUUUACCAGCUACUUGAAAGAAUAGAGCAGGUUCCCAACUACCUCAUUUUUAUCAUGCUUAAUUGAACUUUUGGUCCUUUAAUUAUCAUUGUUUCUCGAAUUUGGUUUCUCAUUUUUUCUUUCGAAUUUAAUCCUUGUAAUGUUUUAUUUAUACAAUUUUGGGCCAUCUAUUAAUUUGACAUCUAAUAUUUAACAAAAAUACUAACAUUGGCAGUAGAAUGCUGAUACGGAUGCGCUGACAUGAAUGUGGAGUGUCAAGUUAGCAUUUCUGUUAAAUACUAAAUGUCAAGUUAUCAAAUGCAUCAAAAUUGCAUAAUUGAAACAGUGAGGAUCAAAUUUUCAAAAAACAGAAAUCUGGAGACACCAAAUUUGAUAAAUGAGAGGCUCAAAGUGAAAUUAAGUCUUACUAUUAUUAAAGUGAACUGAACGUAAAUGACUGAAUGAGUUUAACUUGAAUCCUGUUGUUUCCCCAAAUAGGUGAUUGUGGAACAGACUAGUGUCUACAGAUGCUUGGCAGAAGUUGACUUCUUUGAAAAGGAGUACACUAUUUACCCUCCCACAGUUAAUGAUGACCGAAUGUAUGAGCAUGUGAAGAAGGUGUCCAUUGAUUUGCUGGGUCACAAGAAUUUCAGGGUAGUUCCACCUAUGAUGGGUGCUGAAGAUUUCUCUUUCUACUCCGAGAUGGUUCCCUCAGCUUUCUUCUACAUAGGAGUAAGGAAUGAAACAUUGGGGUCUACUCAUACGGGACAUUCUCCAUAUUUCAUGAUUGAUGAAGACGUUCUACCAAUAGGUGCUGCUGCUCAUGCUAGUAUUGCAGAGAGGUACCUCAUUGAGCAUGGUUGAUGUUGGAAGAUAGUUAAAAGAGCUCUGCUCUUGUUGUCACGUCUUCUCAACUUCGUACAAAAUUGGUACACGAGUUCACCCGUCCUCCCCAUGUUUCUCACAUGAGUAAAUUCUCACUUUAGUUCGUGAUAUAUUGUAAGUGUUUGUCACUUUAGUUAUGAAGUUAAUAAAAUCUUUACUUUAGUCUCUACCUUUAUUAAAUGCCAUUAACUGUAGCUCUUUUUUACAUUUAAGCUACAUUUACUUUAGUCUUUAAUAAUAACGUGAAUACAGUAUAUUAAACAAACUAUAGUAAAUAACAUUUUACAAAAGAUAAAAGACUAAAUUAAAGAUUUUGAUAGUAAAGGAUUAAAAUACCAAACACUUAAAAUUUAAGAGACUAAAAUAGAAAUUUACUCUCCCUAUAUUCAUUUGUUGCUUGAUGUUAAGGAACAGUAGAGACCAGAUUAUCUUUUUAUCCUGUUGAGAGUAGGCUCAGAAUAAAAAGGGAAGCGCCAAAAUUUGUUCUAAGGUGGUUUGAAACCUGUUUAUUUUUCUGGAUGCAAGGCAAAUGUCCAAGUGUAUAAAGUAUAAACAUGCCAAUACCAUAAGUAUUAAAUAAUAACUUAAUUUGAGUAAAUCCUCGUAUAGUUAACUUAUUCUUAACGAAACCAAUCGUAUAAGCACGUCUUAUUAAUAAGAGAAGGCUUUUACCAGCUAAUAUAAACUGCAAUGCCCACGCCCUAAAUAUAUAAAAGGGUAAACGAAGGAACGGAGGCUAUGAAAUUUGGAUAUAAUUUUGAAAUUUGACCGGCUAGUUUUAUACAAACAUGCAAUAACGAUGGCUUCUAGAUUAUAUAAUCAAAUUCGAUCUUAAUAAUCCACCGUGAGAUCCAUUGUUACAAAAUUAAGUCACUGUCCUAAAGUAUCAAAAACGCCGUUAUGUGUCAAACUCAUGGAAACCAUGCACCGAUCAUAUCCUCCACUGCAUGUUUUACGCCCAUUUACUUUAUCAUAAACAGUAAAGGCAAAAGGAGUAUAAACAUUUACUUCCCAGAAUGCACCUUGAUUUCAGCACCAACAGAGUUACAGUACGAAAUAUUCUGCAGGUGAGUGCACACUUUCAUUCAUACAAUGGGUUGACAAUCCACACGUAAAGUUACAAUUAACACCAAAAACAACGGCCAAGUCUUUUUCUAUUAUGUCCUUAAAUAUAUUAAAUCAAACGAGGCCAUAAUAUUUUAUUAUGAAUGUCUCUCUAUACACAAACCUCCAUGUCCCUCUUAAACAAUUUACAAUAACCAAAAUCCAGCAGAUACUGGUAUUAUAAACUCUUCAACCUUCUACAUGAACAACGCCCUACAUAAUCAGAGAACUUCACCUCUUCUCUCCACACAAACAUCUGGCAGCUUGCAGAGCAGAAUAUGUGAGGAUGAUAUCAGCACCGGCCCUUCGGAGGCACAUCAGUGACUCCAUCAUAACCUUUUCUUCGUCUAUCAUUUUGAGAGCACCGGCAGCCUUUAUCAUUGCAUAUUCACCAGAAACCUGUUCCACCAAUUAAGAAUUAUUAUGAAAAGGACGGGGAAAAUGAUAAAGCAAAACAAACUUGUUUUUAAACUAUUCACAUAAAAGUAUGCUGAAGUUUCCUUUUAUUUCCAGCUUUAAAAGCAUAAUAACUUAGGAUAUCACUAUCAAGCAUCACCGCAUUCAUGAAAUCUUUGAUGAAUAUUCAUAUGUUGAAACUGGCUUCCAUUCUACACCAACUGUUUUUGUAUUUUCUGUUUUCAUACAUCUUCCACUGUCUAGACAAAGCUCCAGACCCCAGAGAGAGUCAGGCGAAGAGGUAGUAAAAGUUGGACAAUCUUUUCAGAACACGUAGAAUAAAGUAAUUUAUAAUUAAUAAACUACUAAACUAGCAAAUCAAAUAAAUUUCUUCUUCAACUUCAUAUCAAUAUAGCCUCUGUGCAUUUCAUUAGUGGACAGUUAAAAAUUUAAUUAACAGCGCAGGGAGUUCAUAUUCCCAAAUUGCAAGACUUAAGGGCCACAUAUAUAAUGACUGUUACAGAAACAUAUUUCCAUUCAAUCCUUUUUUAAAAGAAUUGGGUUAGAAUUUGAUGCCAUGUAAUAGCAUAUCGACCUAAGAGCAAUAACUGUUAAAGCAACCAUAUAUAUAUAUUUUUUUUAACUAUGAACCCAAAUAUAUACCAUGUUAUCUGUUAAAGAGUUAUUAUACAGGAAUCCCUUCUAAAAUGGACAUCGCACUACCUCUUAUGAAAAAAGAGUAACCUAAGUGCAAGCACCCCAACAAUAAAGGUGUGAUUUUGUCUACUAUAUAGACUUCGGUCACUUGCAGCAAGCUUAAAGCAGAAUUCACUGGUUAAAAUGUAUUGAAUAUUUGAUCAACUUUUUUAUCAGAAACAUUUUUCCUAGUGCUAGAAUGGGCAAAGAAAAGAACCUGGUAUGCUGCAAUUGGCAAAGGAGAAUUAUCCCUGAGCAGCCUUAUGAUAUCCAAGUAAGGAAGACCAGGCUUCACCUGCAAAUCCAUUUUUUUACAAGUUUGUAAAAGAAAACAGUAUAGAUAAAGAGAAAAAAAAAAGCACAAGAUUAUAAUCAAAGAUCAUGCACGUGCACACACACACACACAUAAAAAGGGAACCAACCAAGAGAAUGUCAGCUCCUUCAGAUUCAUCCUCCCGCAUCUCAGUCAGAGCCUCUCUGUAAUUAGCUGGGUUCAUCUGAUAACUUUUGUUCAGCCAGGCCAGAUUAAUGAGCAAACCAACAAUCAAUAAUGUAAAACUGAUUACGUAUAUAAUAGUAAGUUCAAUUUCAAGAUGACACAUACGUUUUCUUGUCUCCAAACCGGGGGUUUGAGUCUAGUGCCUCUCUAAAUGGACCAUAAAAAGAACUUGCAUACCUGUUGGCAAUAGAUAAAUGGCAUUGUUUAGGACCAUAUUAUAUACAAGACUCAAAAAGGAGGUGUAUGAAGCUUAAUAACAACAUCCACCAAUCCAUCUUUUUUAAGUAUAAUUUAUAUUCUUAUAGUAUUGUUCAUCAAGGAAUAAAUUCGGUAACAAGUAACAGUUGGCAAAAAAAAUAAAAUAGUGAGAUAGUUCAUGGCAGCAAGAAGAUGCAUGUCUAAAGGAAUUUGAAUGCUCAUAACUAUGAUAGUAAGGAAGAUAAAAUUGCUUAUAAGUUGGAUGAGAAAGAAACCAACUUGUUCACAAUGGAACUGUUCCACAUAAAAAAUGAAUCAAUAUGCCACACAUUUUGGAUCUCCUUAAUAUGCCGUGAUAGAACAUAGAUAUCCAUUGAUACUAACUCUAGAUCCCACAUAAACACAUUCUUGUAAGUUAUAACAGAUCAACGAAAAAUAAUGCUACAUCCUUAGUUAUUUUGAGUUCCAAUUUUCAAAUGAUCUUUUUCUUUUCAUUGGAGAUAUUUCUAAAUUUUGGAUGCAUCUACAUAUCUCCAUCACUGACUAAAUCUUCAGUAAUUUCCAAUGCAAGCUGGCAUAAACAGAAAAAGAGAUAAGAAAAAGAAAUGGCAAGUAAAAAACUUACUUUGCUGUAUAGGACAUUAUAGAAACAUGCUGAAAGCCUUCAGCAUCCAGAGCUGCACGCAGUGCUCCUACCCGACCAUCCAUCAUAUCACUAGGACUGACAACAUCUGCUCCAGCUUGGGCCUUUUUGUAAAUUAAAGAGACAAAAAAAAUGUUAGUGGUGUUAUAGAGAAGUGUAGCAAGGAAACCUUAGAGAUCGGGAACAUAAAAGCAUAUUUCCUCAGUAUACUCAACCAUUAAUUUCCCUAAAACUCAUGGCAAAAAAUUUACUUGCUGAUAACUACAAUAAAGCAUCAGUUUUUUCAUCUGGGAGUUGAGACACCAUGUUGAACCCAUUAUUACAUGAAACAAAAUACAUCCACAAACAAAGGAAACUUAUUUGAAAGUAAAUGAACAUUUCAAGGCCAUACUGAAGGUGAUCAAUAUGUUCAGUAAAUCUUAAAAAAAUAAUUGGUAACUGCCUACAGUUGAAAAUGUUUAUAGAAGACAGUCAUAUGACCUGGGCUACAGCUUGUUUACAUAGCUGAUGAACUGUCUCAUCAUUCAUAAUAACUCCUGCAGAAUAUGAAGGAUAUAUAAUGUAAUUAGUACUCAAUUGACAUUAAUCAAGAAGGACCACUUCUUUCAAAGUUUUGCAGAAUAGCUCCUACUCUUUUCCCAACCAAAGGUGUUUCAGGAAGCAAAUAGAGCCACAGACUACAUAGUGAAUUGAUGGCAAUUUUUUUUAGGAAAAAAUAUUUUUGUUCUUGAAUAGUACAAUUACAAAUUUAGAAUAAAGAACAAACUGAACAUAUUCAACAAGUACUAAACUAAACCUAGAAGUUAAAAACAUGGCAAAGGUGAGAAUGCUGAUUCCAUUCCAGCCUCUUUCAUGGUACUUAGGCUUUUUGAGCCAUCCAUAAUCCAAUAAAACUUAAACUUCGUACCCCAUUGCCCGGAGGCUCUUCGCUAUGCGAAGGUAUGGGGGAGGGAUGUUGUACGCAGCCUUACCCUUGUAUAUGCAAAGAGACUGUUUCCGGAUUCGAACCCAUGACCAACAAGUCACCAAGGCACAACUUUACCGCUGCACCAGGGCUCGCCCUCCCAUCCAUAAUCCAAUAUCCUUAAAAAAUCUUGCUAGGUCUGAAGCAAGAGGAAUUGGUGCAAGAAUAGCAAUUUGAGACUUUUGCAGGACCACUUCUCUUUAUAAAGCAAGAUCUCCUUUAUCCAUGCUUCAAAUUCACGAAGCAUUUCUUAUGAAUUAAGUCAAUGAAUCAUGUUCAGUAAGACAUAUGUGCCUCCAUGUUUGGAGGUCAGGAUGUGAGAAAUAACAACAUAGAUUCAAAUAUAAAGAGAAUCAACUAUAAAAACCUAUACUUCUGCAUUUUUCUCAAGAGAUUUCCAACUUUGAGUAUAAAAGACAAAUUUGAUAGCAUACCAUCUUCUCUAACUAUGCCAUCAUGCCCAUCUGAUGAAUAAGGAUCUAAUGCAACAUCUGUAUAGAUAACCUGAAGAAAGAUUGAAUGAGAAAGGUUAUUGGCUUAACUUUCUUUAUGCACCAGAAAAUAUAAUAUCCACAAACUAUGGAAAUUAUGUUCACUUACAAGGUCUGGGUACUUAUCCUUGAGCAAACGUAUUGUUCGAGGCACUAAACCAUUUUCAUUGUAUGCUUCAUCUCCUGUGGGAGACUAAAGGGGGAAAUCUGUUAUACUAGAUUGCACUGCAGUUAUCUUACUGAAAGCCUAUAGUAUGCAGGAGAGAGAAUAGAACCUUCAAAGCAUCUGGAAUUUUGGGGAAGAGCACAACACUAUUAACACCAACAUCCCGUGCUUUUGCAACCUGAAGCACAAAAUGCCCCUUGAAAAUUACUAAACUUUAAUGAGUUAUACAAGAUAUAGUCAGAAUAACAUCACCAUCACCAUCACCCACACAGUUUAGGAAUAUAAAAAAGAAAAAACCUGCCAGCUUCCCCCAGCAUAGCAUGAUUCAAACAGGUCAGAUACUAAAGGAACAAUAAAAUCUGGCAAAACUCCUUGAUCAAAUUGAAAGAACAUCAAACUUCUAAUGAGUAGCUAAAAUAAUACUCAAAACAAUGAAGCUGAUCCAUAAACAUAUACACAACAACAACAGAGUCUUUUCCCACGAGAUGGGUCAGCUACAUGGAAUCAUGGAGGAUAGCUACAUAGAUCAUACGGUGCCGUAAAUUUGUCUUGUAUCAAGUACAAAGAUAAACAAUUUACCUCUAGAUCACUCUUAAUAGGUUGACCUAUAGUUCUAAAUCAUAAAAGUAGUAAAGUACAUAAAAAUAUUUUUAUAUUGAUUAUCAUAGAAGUGACAUGAAAGCAAAAGGAAAUAGUUGAGACAUAUUGGAACAAAAUUAUGCAAAAGAAAGUCUAAAAAAUCCCCAAUUAAACAUACCCAUCUUAUAGCAGUAGACAGACAUCACUAACCCCAGAUUCACUAUUACUUUUGAACGUUUUGAUUUUGUUAACUUGUGAUUCACUCUACUACACAUUUCUAAAAUUUCACUCACUUUAUAACUUGAUGCAAACAAGGAACUCAUUUAAGCCAUGCAUGAGAGUAUGAGACACAUAAACAGUAGCAGAUAAUAACCUCUUCUACAAGUCCAUGCCUCCACCCAAGCCUGUAGCAUCCAGGCAUAGCCCCAAUUGGAGUAUCCUCUUCACCUGCAAGUUCAAACUCAAAUGUUCUCAUGAUCCAAAAUCAAAUAAUCAAGAGCAUAUUAUACAACCUAGUAGUGCCAACAAAUGAAAAUUAGUAUACCCCAAUUCUAAUAUCUAAUAUUGUACUAGUCAUCGCCUCAGUCCAAGACUUCUUUAAAUUCUCACUUUAGUAUUUGAUCACUAAAACUCAGCUCUUCUUAGUAUUUAUAAUUAAAAAUGACAGUGAAAAUGAAAUUAAAAAAAAAAAAAACUUUUUGUAAAAUAAAUAAUUAAAAUUCUCAGUCCUUGACCUUUAAAAGUUCUCACUUUCUCUGAUAUUGUAAAGCUUGGUUACUUCUGUUUAGCAAUUUUAGUGCAAAAAGACAGUGAGAAAAGAAACAGUGUUUAACUCAAAAUGCACAUAAGUAAUAAGCGCUAAGUUCUAAGAAAGCAACACGUGCAAAGAGACCAACCUUCGUGAAUGAAAAGCGGAUACACGAAAUUCGCCGGCGAAAUGCUCGUUUCCUGAAAAGCCGACCGAAGCGCCGGCGACUUCCGGUUCCGACGAGGACGCCGGUGAAGUGGCUGACACAAAAUCAAACAAACGAAACCAAACCAAUCAAACCAUUGCUAAGCCAAGCGUAGUUAGUUAGCAGCAAUGCAAAUCAAGCCACGAGAAACUCACAAGUGAAGGAACCACCGGUGUUCCAACCGGAGCCGCCGGUCUGGGCGGCACGGGAGGCGCCGGCGGAACCUUACCGGCGACAACGGCGGCUUCGAACUCCGAAUCGGAGGCUCUGACGACGAAAAGGCGUUGGGAGCGAGGAAUUUUGGCAGCUUGAGGAGAAGAAAAGUUGAAGGUCCUCAGUGGCGCUCUGAGACCAACGUAGCUCUGAGAAUUGAACGCAGAAGGCGCAUUAGGGAUUGAAGAAGCCAUUGCCAUUGAUUGAUUAUAGAAUGGGGUGGGAAAUGAAAGAAGAAAAGGUUAAUAGGAUUGAGGGAGAAUACGGAGAACCAAUGAGAAGAGAGUCGCAGGAAGAGGAUAAGUGAGGAUGUAUGCACAGGAUUCAAUACUUUACCAAUCAGCUUCAGCUACGUCACAGUCAAUUUUCUAUAUGUGGUUUUCUUUGCAUAUUUUUAUUUAUGAACUGCACCGCUUGCUUAUUUCUAACUUUCUUCUUAACCUAAUUCCGUGUUCGACAAGCGAUAUACGUAUCUGUCGUUAUUACAACUUACAAGUCUCAAUGUUUUGGGCUUCUAAAUGGGCUCAUAACAAGUGAAGAGGCCCAUUUGAACAAAGUUCUCUUCCUGCUCCACAGAACCGAGGCAAAUCGUAGAGCAGGGAUAUGAUAGAAACAACAAAUAGAUCAUUUCUGCGAUUAACACAGUAAAACUAGUGAAAUAUAUAACAAUUAAAUGAUAGAAACCGCUACAUACGAUUAUAGGGCGCCACCACUCUGUUCAUUAUUUAUUUGUAAAUUAACAUUAAUUAAAUAUAUAACUGAAGGAUAUAAGAAGCGUGAUAAUAUUAAUCUAUAACUAUUAUUAUAAGGGGAAUAACUCCACUUAGUGUCCACUUAUUUUUCAACAUUUUUAUCCCGACUAUUAAAAAUUAAUAAUCAUCACAUUAUUUUAUUUUAACUUUCAAGUCCAAUCUAGGCAUAAAGUAUUUUAUUUUAUCCAUGAGAAUCAAAGACCAAUAUAUCAGAAGUUCAUAACAAUUCAUUACUUUACUCAAUCAACUUAAGUGUAUAUUUUACAUAGUAUAUUAUAAUGUUUAUGUAAGUGGUUAGGGGUGCAUGUGGGAGGUAUAGUUUGAUUUCAGUUUGUUGGAUUUAAUUAUUCUUUUAACACUUCUGUAUGAUUUUGACUAUUUAAAAAAAUGAACUAAACCAAACCAAUCAAACCACUUUAAAGAAACAGAUGGGUUUGGAUUGAUUUAUUUUCAUAAAGAAGUUUGGUUUAACUUUUUUCUCCAAUAUUUAGUUUUUAAAUGAUUUGGUCCGAUUAGAUUUUCUUAUACAAACCUAAAAUCUUUAUUUUAAAAUUUUGAAUUUGAUUUCACUCAAAUCAAUAACAUUUUAUAUGAUUUAAAAAGUGGAUUAAGUAAAGAUUUGAGUUUGAAGAGUGUCAAACAAAAAAUUGUGAUUUAGAAAAAAUAUUCCAUUUGGAUUGUUUUAGUUUGAAAGACGAAAAUGAAAUAUAUAAGAUGAUAAUAAUCCUGUCAUUUUGAUACAACUAAUUCACAAGAGAAUUAAUCUUAAAUUAAGUAGAUCCAUCAAACUAUUUUUUAUAUAUUUUUACGCAUCUCACUGUCUCUCUACUCUUCCAUUCUUUAUUUUUCUUCAACCAAACACCUAUAAUCUUUAAUUUAUUUUUCAUCUAUUUUUACUAUUUCUAUCUAUCUUAUUUCUCUCUUCUCUGGAGCCUUAAAGAUUGCGAGUUAGAUUCUUUUGUGAAAAUUAACCACUAAAAGAGGAAGGCAAUUAAAGAAAUGUUGAAUGGAGACACAUCCAUGAGUGAUUCAUAUUUGACGAUAAAUUUUGGAGAAAUGGACAAGUUCUCUUCUCAAGUUUUCAAAUCAAAUGGAUUUCAAUUUAACUAUUCAACGCCAACCCAACAAAUAGCAAGGGCUGCUAGGCUCAAGUCCAUUUGAUAAGGCCGAAGAGGAGAUCAUAUAUUUUGGCUGGAUGCCAACACUUUAAUAUUUAAUUUAAAGAAGCUAGAUGGAAUGCAUUUGACAAAUUGGUGGUACAGACUCAUUCUGAUUCAAGGACCCAGAUUAUAAUUACAAUAAUUAAUAAAAAUAUUCAAAUUCGCAAAAGGGGUUUAGUUAUUUUGGUUUAGCAAAUUAUUGGAUAAUUUUGUUUAAACUUAAAAUAAAUAAUUUUAAAAAGUAACUUUUUUUUAGAAAUAGUUAGGAUUUGUUUCUUAAAAAAAUAAGCAGAGAAAAAAAAAAUAGAUAAACAUAUUAAAUAAGGAAAAACUGCUUAUUUUAUAAAAAAAAUAUGUUUUUAAAAAAAUAAUCUUAAACAAACAGACCAUUGUAAACUUUCUGUAGUGAAAUUUAACUGACAAUUGUUAAACAUACCUUCUUAAUUUGUUAAAUAUACCCAUUCUUUAUUUAUAAUUUUUUUCCUUCUAAACUACCCCUUUCCGGAAUCUAGUUUCUAGAAGUCUAUCAAUUCCGUAAAUUAAAUUCCAAAGGCAUAAUUGGAAAACACUAUCUUGUUCUUCCUACAGAAUCUAAUCCUUAUAAACUCAUGCACAGAGAAGACUCUUAAGAAAGCUGUCCUCGCACCCUUAAGAGAAGCCCCUGUUACAUGGAAGUACCUCGCAAUUCGUUGAUUAGUUACAUCAAUGGAUAUCUAACUUGUUUAUCUAAAAUUAAUUAUAUACUUGGAAGUUUUUUAUUUUUUAUCUAUAAAAAUACUUUUCUAAAUAUUUCCUCUCUGAAUUUCCCCUCUAGCUCUCUCUAUUUUUUUUUUCUCUAUCUCUGUUAUCUAAAUUUGUUUGUCUCUAGACUUAAUUUUCUUUCACUUUAACUCUAUAAAUUAUAGGCUUAAUUUGUAUUUUUUUACUCCAAACUUUUUUUUUUUAAUUUUACACCAACAAAUUAAUUUGACGUAUGUUACCUCUAAAUUUUUAAAAAACUUAUGAAUUUUACCUUGUUUUGCGACACGAGAUGUUAAAAUAUUUAUAUUUUUAUCCCCAAUUUUUUCCUUUUUCACAAUUUUUAUUCCUAAUUUUUCUUUUUUGACAAAUUUUACAUCCAAAUUUUAUGCUGCCAUGUUAGCUCAACAAAUGAAAGUAAAUUUUGCAAUUUUUUAAGAGUUAGAAGUAAAAUACCUCAACUUAAUUUAUUGAGAAUAAAAUUCAUAAAAAUAAUAAUAAUAAUAAAUACAAUUAGUCCUUCCUACUAUAUCCACGAUAUUUUUACAUUCGGAGCCGCAAUGACCAUUAGACAUAUCACCAGGAAAAGAAGGAUUGAAGGAACAUAUAUGUGAAACAUUUGAAAAGAAUUGGGCAGUACAACUUUCGACACAUCUAAAGUGGAAUGAUCAAUGUGAUAGAGAAGAAAAAAAGAACAAACUCUCAAAUGUACAAACGACAUCUGAAGAAGGGACUCAAAUACUUUUUUAAUCAUUUAUAAUCCAAUUGAGUUAGGAGAAAUCGGUGGAUGAUUGACCAUUCGUCAAUUAAAACAAUUCGUCUAAUUCAUUUAAUUUUGUCUUCAUAAAAAAAUUGAAUAAAUUUGAAGUAUGGAUAUGGAUUGAUUAAGUCAUGGAUACAUAAAUCAUUUUGUCACCUUUAUUGAGUGAUGAAAAUAUUAUUAGCAUGCGACUCGUUUUUAUUUUUAUAAGCAAAAGGGUUACUAUUUUUUUAAUAUAGCAAGUGUUGAAAGUCAAUUCCAAGAAUAUUUUUCUAUAUCACCCAAAUUCAAACCAAUUGCUCAUCUUCCUUACAAAAGAUUCCGGACCUAUGAUUAACCAUCAUCCCGUUGUAUAUCCCACGAAAUCAGACCUAAGCUUCUCUCCACUGGAAAAGACUUUAAAAGACCAUUACAUAAACUUAGAUUUGCCAUUCUGACGUUAGAGAAAGUUUAAGCUAGCUGCAGGGUCAUAAAACAGCUACAAACACUCAUUUAAAUAAUCGUCAUAAAUUGCGUCUAGAUGUUUCUUUGUUUUUGGGUUGAUGCUUCUAGAUGAGUUUUUAUGCUUCAUUCAAAAAAAAAAAAAAACUUGGCCUUUUCUUUAGGCAUUUAAUUUAUUAUUCUGUGUGGCGUGUGUUGCCAAAACAUAGAGUCCUUUAGAAACACGCUAAUGGGACUGUCUAAAAUACAUGAGCAAUAAAAUUCAAAAGGAAAAAGGAAACAUAAACAAAAAAUUUACCACAAGAAGAGUUGGGGGAGGUAAAAUCAGGAAACGAAGUAAAAUGAUUGUGGAUGAUAGUGAUGUGAUCUGACGGUUCAUGUGCUACCACGUUAGAAUUCUGUCCCCAGUGUCAGACGAUAAUUAGGUCUACCCAUGAAAGGAACGAACACGUGGCAGACAGCAAUUGGGUCCGACACUCAAGUGGUGAAAAAAGGAUUUUGAACAAACUGACUGAGCCCUAAAGGAAAAACUUUCUGCUUUGGACACCCUCGAUGGGAACAGAUUCCAAAUAUUGGGAAAUCUAUAUCACAAGAGAGGAAUGGGUUUUUGGGAUCCCACAAAAGAUUAUAUUUGCUUGGACCCACUCAAGAUUUCAAAUUUUGCUCCGUGGGACCCUGUUUUGGUCCCAACUCCCAGCCUUUUAUUUAUCUCUUUGUCCCCUUUACCCUUUACUAUACAAACAUUAAUGGGUAAUCUUUGUAUUAAUGUAAUAUGCAUUCCCAUGACAUUCUUGUAUGUAUAGUGGUCCCCUCUAUUAUUUUGAUUUCAGUUUUCUUGGUUAGACCUUCAAUUCUGGAAUUUCUAAUAAUAAUCUUGGUGGAUUGUGUGAUGUGACUUGUUGUUUACCCAAAGUUAAUAAUUAAAGCAGAUGAAAGGUUUAUUUCCAUGUUUUUACUCUUCCCAAUUCGAAUUGGAGAUUGACUACAAACAAAUGUUUGAAUUCAGGUCUCUUGAGCGAUGUCGACAUUGCGUCCAAUUUCAGGUAAGCUCACAUCUAUUUUGUGAUAUUCGGUGGGAUUUCAUGAAGAUCUUGUUAUUGUUGUUUGUGUAAAUUUGGGUGCAAAGUAGCUAACAACAUUAAUUAGAUUAGGCUAUCAUACUAGUAAGCAAAAAAUCACACAUAAAAAAGAUGAAAUAUCGCAAUAAUCACCUAGAUUUGAAGCAAUGAAGCUAUUAAGAAUAGGAUUACAUAGAAUCUUAAUUGACCUGAAAAUUGCUUGUUUAUUCAAGUUGAUUUCAAACAUAUCUUAUUUCUUAUAGUUUAUUCGAUAUUUUCGUGCCCGACAGAAUGAGUUUGUCAUGUAUAACGAGUUGAUGGGCUUGAGCAUGUGAAUAUAUUUAACACCAAAAAUGCAAUUUCGUCACUUUUUUUUUAUAUAAGAAACAGAUAUAGAGACACAAAAAUUAUCAGUGCCAAACGUCACAAUAUAAAAAGAGAUCAGUGGCCCAAAAUCAUUUAGGUUACAUGAAAUGAUAGUGGAAUAUUUUCAUUAAUUAACUGAAUUUCCACAAACUUUUUGAAAAAAAAAAACUGCAACAAAUGGUCUUUUUUCUUUUUGUAACAAAAUGAUGAUAAUAAAAUGGUUCUAUUAAAUUAGGGGUCACAUCCUACAUUCCCCAGCGAAAUGUUAGGCUAAAGUAAAGUAGGCUGAGGUAAGAUUAUCCGUUAGUUGGAGGAAAGUCUCCAAAAUGAUCUUACCCAAUGCAUGCACUUUAGAUUUUACACACAGCACUGUGUAUUUUACAAUGGCAAGAAUAUUAAAAUAAGGCAAAAGCGAACAAAAAUAAAACCCCACUCAUUGCCCCAGGAAAAUUAAUAUAUGUAGUUGAGAAAAUUAAGAGGAAAGUAAUGGCGGUUUAAUUAGUUAGGAAAGAAGGGUUGUUGCUUUAAUUUUCAAAGUGAUGCUCAUAUAAUUAGAAUAGGGUCCUGCUAACCAUUAAUUAAGAAAAAAAAUAUUUAUUAUAAAAAUUAGAGAAAAAAAAUUAAAAAAUUGUAUUAUAAUUUUAUGUAUUUCAAUAAAAAUAUUUUUUCAAUUCCUUAAUCAAUAUUUUCAUAACACUAAUUAUUGAAAUAAAGGCAAUACUAUCCGCACCCCAAAUUCAACCUUCUUUCCAUCAUCAUGAUGACCGAAUGGAACAAAGAUCUUGUGGUUUUUCCUUAGCAAUCAAAUAAAAUCCAAUUGAAAGGGGAAAGAGAGAGAAAGUUUAUGUGUGUGGUGGUUGUACCAACGCGGUAGAGAGAAUCUAGGGAGAAGAUCUCAGCAUGAAGGCACACACAUAAAUAACACUACAUCCAUGCCACUGUGCCACCACAGUUUUUUCUCUCAUGCACCUACUAAUAGCAAAAAAAAAAGCUAAGAGGGAUAAUUACAUUCCACCUCUCCUUCCCAUUCUCACUCUCUCUCUCUCUUUCUAUUUCUCUCUCCGUGCGUGACCUUGAAUUACUGAUAUUUUAUAUUUUAACCAGCUAUAUAUAUUACAAGAAAACAUAGAUAGUGUGUGUUCAUCAGCUUAUUCUCAAACCUGAUAUGGAGUUUGUGGAUACCAGAAAACUACAAUUACAACAUCAACAACAACUGCAACAACAGCCGCAACAUUUUCAUGUGUUGGCAGUGGACGACAGUGUCAUAGAUAGGAAGCUAUUGGAGAGGCUCCUUAGAGGUUCUUCAUGCAAAGGUAGUUACAAUAUACCCCUCGUGUUUUGUUCUUCUAAUUCUUCCAUAGCCUCCGAAUGUUGGUAGUACCGUACUCCGUACCAUCUUAAUUCUUAGGUUUUGUGUUGCUAAUCUGGUUAAUGGUUUUGUGGCUAGUUAAUUACAUGUGGUUGAUUAUUUGUUAAGCAGUUACCUGUGUGGACUCUGGAGACAAGGCUUUGAAAUAUCUUGGGCUAAUAGAUGAGCUUGAUGAUACUUCUUCAACCUCUUUAGAAUCAGAAUCUUCUCAUCCUCCACCUCAACCAUUACAACGAGAGGUACUGAUCUUAUUAUUUUGCUUCAAUUCUUCAAUGGUUUUAAGAUAAGUUUGCUUUUUGUGUACUACAUUUGAGCCAGGCUAUUUUAUCGCAUAUAUAUCAAAGUAUUUAGGAAGUUUCAUUCUAUGGAUUUUUUGUUUGUUUCCGUACCGAUAAAUUAUUAUCAUAAAGUAAGUUCUAUGCUUAAUUGGCUUACAACAUUUCUCGUUUUCAAAACAAGCUAGGCUAGACCGUUACUUCUAAUUAAAUGGCUUCCAUUUAGUUGUAAUGCAGCAUUAAUUAUUCCUUUCAUCAUGUAAUUAAACUCUUUCCCCCCCUUAAAUAACAGAAUUCAAUUGCCAAAAUGCCGUCUACGUUUCUUCUUUUUCUAUUAUUACUAAUAGGGGAGAGAGUCACUUCUCUACAUUUUUUAAAAAUAGUAAAAAUAAAACGAAGAGAGAAGAUGAAAAUUGAAUAAGAAAUAUGAGAGCGAAUGGUUAAUUAUAUAGGGAGAGAAGAAAUUAAAUUAAAAAUAAAAUACAGAGAAGUAUGAUAGUUACUUAAUGAAAAAUAGGGAUUUAACAAAAAAAAAACUAAAAUGGAAUACCUUCAUUACUUAUAGUUGUUAGUAUAAAUUAUUGUUGUUGUUGAUAAAUAAUUGGUAUAAGUCAUGUAUAAACACGUAGUGUGGGUAAAAGGAUGAUAUUUGGAAUAUCUUUUGUCCUAAAAUUACCUUCAACAAGAUUAUAUAUAUAUAGCAAUCGCGAGGAGGUUUCUGAAAUUGUUGGUUAAUGUAAACAUAUAACUUGGAAUUCUUGUGGAAUCAUGCAAAUUUAAAGUAUUAAUUAGGAUGGAUAAUCUCACCAGAGUCAUAAGAAAGUGGCUUUCCAUUAAGUUGCCCAUUUCUAUUUCAUCACCACUUCCAUUCACUGAAAUCGCGCACGCAUAUUAUAAAUUUUUAAUGCGUAAUAUUAUCAAAAUGCACUAUGAUAUAUGGAUAUCUCAACAUAAGAUAGCAUAAUAUUAUCUUUUUAAUGCGUACCUGUUCCUACUAGUUUUCUUGAAGAUCCGAUAGCAAUAUUGUAUCCCGCAAGCAUUAAUUUGAUCAUGUCAUAAAAAAAGAAAGAAAAGUUAUACUGCAAUUUAAUGAGUUAAACUUUGGUAGAAAAAGUGGAAAAAAUUUCAAUGCGCUGUACGUACUCUUAAUUGUUGUUUUGAUUCACGAUUGCCACGCUCCUAGAAUCGUAUCUACUCUUGUCUACAUCAGUGUUCUUUAAGGCCCUCUCUUUUGGAAAAGAAAAAGGGGUACAAAAAGGUUUUGGUAUUUACCAUCCAAUGUGGUUUUUGCUACCUCAUCGUGGUCAUUUCAUUUCCCUCCUUUAAUUUUUUUUUUAUCUCCGUAGUAAUAUCUAUGUAUCUAGUUAUAGUGGGGUGAGAUAUUCCAAAUUGAUAGCAAACAGUAACAUGUACUUUUUGUUGCAUCUUUUGAAUUGCUGCAGGGAAUCAAAGUGAAUUUGAUCAUGACAGACUAUUGCAUGCCUGGGAUGAGUGGCUAUGAUUUACUCAAACGAGUCAAGGUCAAACACACAACACUCUUAUUCCCCGACAUAUUCCCGAAAUUCCCUCUGUCUUUUUUUAGCUUGAAUAGCAUGUUCUCACAGACUGAAAAAGAUGCCAAACAUUCCCUUCUCCUUCAAUCAAGAGUUGAAAUAAUUUUUAAUCUGAUCAUUCAUUUAUUUGCAGACUGCAAAGUACCAGUUAAUUAAUUCUUUUAACUUGCAACAUGGUUUUGUUUUUAGUCGGCAUUAUAUAUAACUUUAAACGAGUGAGUGAUACUUCAAGUUUUCAGUAAAAAGAAAGAUAAAAGAAAAAGGAAAAAGUUACAGAUUUCAGGAUCUAAGCUUGCUUUUACCUUUUUUUUUCUUUUCUUUUAUUUGGUUAUUCUUUUUGUUUUCCUUUCAUUCUUAUUUUGACAUUGCUUACCGCUGCAGGGAUCUUCUUGGAAAGAUGUUCCAGUCGUGAUUAUGUCAUCAGAAAAUGUACCUUCCAGAAUCAGCAUGUAAGUUUUCCUAGCUUCAUUGUGGAAUUGAAUUCACUUUUCUUUUUAAUUUUGUUGCUGGGGAUUUUUUUUCUUUCCUUUCAGUACAAUUUCGAAAAUUGGUCUUUAAGAUUUAUCAUAAUCAGUUGUGGCUUCCUUAUAUAAUCAUCACUUUGUUACAUUAAAUAAGAAAGAAAAAAUGCAUCAUGUAUAAGUUUCUGCAGUACAUGCAAGAAAUAAAUGCAUUAGCGACAAAAUUUAGUGACGAAAAUUGCUUAAUGUAUUACAUGUAAAUUAUUUUGUCACUGUCAUGUACUAAUUGACAAGUUGAUUAAUUUGUUGAUAGGUGCUUAGAAGAAGGGGCAGAAGAGUUUCUAUUGAAGCCUCUUCAGUUAUCGGAUUUGGAUAAGCUUCAGCCGUACUUUCUGAAAUCCGUUGAUAAUUCCUGUGAAAAAGAAUCUGCUAACAGUUCCAUAGAUUCAGACAAUGACAAUGUCAUCAACAACAACAGCAAUAACAGUAACAGUAACAAUAACAACAACAAUAGCAUCAGCAAAAGGAAGGCCAUGUCUCCUGAGCCUCAUCGGGAGGAGAGAUCAAGACCCAAAAUGAAAGAGUUAGCGGUGGUGUAAAAAAAAACAACACUAUAGAGAGAGGUUGAUGGAUGCAUGCAUAGGUAUUAUAUAUUAUAGUUUAUGACUAUGAUCCUAAUUAUGGAUAUCUCCUCUACUCUAAGAGCUUAAUUAAUGAAUUCCCAGUGCGUACUAAUGUUGUUCACAGUUACCAUUUACCUUCUUCCUUUCCACAUGUUGCAUGCCACUUGCCAACUUAAAUCACAGAUUCACAGUAGUGUGAGACGAUUUUGACAAAUCAGAAGGAACAUUUUUUUUUUUUGAAGCAUGAAAUUUGUAAGUCUCUGAAACUAUCUUCAAAUUUGAGUUUAAAUCUAUCUUAAACCCAAAAGUUAAUUUGUUUAAGAAGUGAGAAAUAAAUAUUAUGUUGAUCAUCAUAUAUACCACUAAUUAACGUGGAUCUCUCCAGCACCCAUAUAUAAGAGAUAGCUAGUAAACAUAAUUAAGUCAGUGGCUGAGUGGGGUCUUCCAAAAUCCUUGUGUCUGUCUACUCACUGCAUAUAUAUAUAUAUAUAUAUAUGGCUCUUGCUUUCAACACACGCAAUAGACCGUAACUGAACUAAUUUGCUGUCAAGAAGUAAUAUCAGCGUUUUCGCUGACAAAUGGUGUGUCUGGGGUAUUGAGUUACAGUGAUCGGCCAGCACGUGCUUUCCACUGUUUUUCUUUUGUGACUUUGCAUGUAUCAUGAACUUUUUCUUAAAUGCUGUUGUCCAAAAAAAAAAAAUCAAGCUUUUACAAUAACUGAUUGAAAUAUGAGACUUUAUUCAAGAAAAUCAAAUCAAAAUCACUCAAGUCAACAACUUGUUGAUAUAAGUGACUUUUAAAUACAUUUAUUUUUCUUGGUUUAUAUAUAUAUAUAUAUAUAUAUAUAUAUAUAUAUAUAUAUAUAUAUAUAUAUAUAUAUAAAUUUUUUUUGUUAAACACAUUUAUUUAUUGUAUAACGAGGUAAUGAGGUCUCAAUAUAUGAACUUUUCCAAAUCAUCCUUGUAAAGCCAAGUUAUAAGAUGAAUUGACACGUAAAUUUUGAUUUAAUAAUUUUCUGAUAAAUAAUAUAUUUUAUAUCAAUCUAAUACUUUCUAUCACCCUAAAAUAAGUUUCGUUCCAAACUAUUUUACAUAAAUUAAGAAAAAUUAAUAAAUAAAUGAGAAAAUAAUUAAUGGUUUUAGAAAACUAAUCAUAGUAUUAAUAUUACAUUAAAAAAUUAAAAUGACAAAUAUUAGAUGUCUUAGUGGAAAAAAUAAUUAAUAUUAUAUUAAAAAAUUUAAGUAUAACACUUAUUUUGAGAUUUUUUUUUUCAAAUUCAACACUUAUUAGGUGUAAUAGUAUUUUUUUCUGUCAUUCAGCAAAAAAAAGUAUUUUUUUGUCUUCAUGAUACAAAGAGAAAAAACAAAAUAAUCUUAUAAAUCAUUUUCAACAUGUCGAAUUAAAUAAAAAAAUUGUCACAUAAACUUAUUCUGUCGAGCCUAUUGAAUCAAUAGAGAGAUAAAUCAUUUUUUUAUUAAACCUUAUAAAAUAGAACUCAUUAAUGCUUAAGAAUAAUAAAAUUUUAUUAUGUUAUUUUCUUUGCACAUUAUUCUAUCAUACUUCUUAAUAAUUUUGUAUUUUUUUUCUUUGUUAUCUAAACUAAGGAUAUUCUUUAUGGUAGACAAUAUUGUUUGAGUUAGAUAAAGCUAAAUAAGACUACUAUGAACACUAAAGUUUACCCUCAUAAUAUUCAAUGCAGUUGCAUAUUUAAGACUAAAACUCGAAACAUUUAAUUAAGUUAGAAUAACCUUACAAAAGUUGAUCCACACAUUUGGUGACUAUUUUUUUAUAUUUUAACAGGAUACAAUAACCUUUUUUAAUAGUAAUGAAAUUAAUUUUGAUAAAAAAAAUAACCUUGUAAUCGAAAUUGAAUUAUUGAUGAAACAAGUUACUUUUUUAGUAGUUAUGAUACAAAUUAUUAUUUUUAAUACCAAUUGAACAAAUUAUGGUACAUAUUACCUUUUCCAAGAUUGUAUCAUAAUUAACUCUUUUACUACUAAAAAUGACAACUUGCAUCUAAUUAAAUUAAUUUUUGUUAGAAAAUAUAUCAUAAUUAGUUUUAUUAUUAUUAAAAGAUAUACCAUUAAAAAAGAUUAAUUGUAUCGUAAUGAAUUUAAUUUCAAUUAGAAAAUACUUUAUAUCAUAAUUAAUUUGACAUUAAAAGGUAAUAUUUAAAAAAAGAUAAAUUGUGUUUUGAAUCAAUUACACAAGAAAACUUAUUAUCGUUGUGUAUUUCAUUAACACUAGGGUGUGUAGUUUAUUUAUGAAAAAAAAUUAACAUCACGGAAAAAUAUUUCUUUUAUAUUUUUGUUUCAGAUAUAUAAUGAAAAUAAGUGUUCAUUGAAUAUAGGACAUAACGUAAACUUAUUCAUUCUGUGAAAAACAAAAGAGGAAACUUAUUUUUGUAAACAAUAAGUUGUUAAUUUUUUUUUAAAAAAGACAAAUUAUUCUUUUACACUCAACAAAUUUCUUCAACACCCAACAUAUCUUAAGAUACCCAUCAGAAGAAAUUGGUUAGUUAGAGGAAGAAUAACAAAAAAAGGUUAGAUUUGAACUUCGAGAAAAGAGAGGUCAGAAUAAUAUGGGCCCAAUCCAAAUAACUUAUUGGACUCCGUCUCAAAACAUCACAUUUCUGAAUGCAAUGCUAUGUACAAUCUAAGAUCAUUAGUUUAAAGAAUUAAUGAAAGAGUUUGUUAGAAAUCUAUUUUGGUGUUAAAAAAUUACAUUACUAAAAGAUCAAAUAUUUUUUUUAUACAUUUUAAAAAAUAUUUAUUAUAAAACUCAAUCAUCUUCUUAUACAUAUUAAAUUGUAAUUAAAUAACAAUAUCAAAAUAUUAAUAUUAUAAUUAAAUAAGUAUUUAAAUUAUUUGUAAGUAUAUUAUUUAUUCUUAAUGAAAUCAAUUAAAGAGAAUACCAUAAUACAAACAAUGCGCAAACAUUUUGGUAUAUAAUGCCGACAAUGAAGAUACAACCUUCUGCCAUAUAAUACUUAAACCCAAGUCCACACUAAUGGCCAAGUGGGUUAGAGGUAUAAAAUAUGUAAAUUAUAUUAUAUUAAAUCAAAAUUGUAAUUUUUUAAAGAUGUGGAGACUAAAAUUAUGGAAAAAAAGAGAAUCAAAAUUGCGGAAAAAGAAUUAAAGGAGAACUAAAAGUGAAAUUUUUGCUUAAAAAUAAAAUUAAAUACUAUUUAGUACUAGAAUAAAACAUGUAGCUCAAUGGGAAUAAUAAUAAUAAUUAAAAUCUCUUAUUAUUAAUAAUAAAAGCGUUCUUAAUGAUAGAAGAAUGACUCAUAAAUGCAAUUGUUCAAGAUAAAGUUUCAGGUCUGUAGCAUAAAAAUAGAUAAUUAGAGUUAAUUUCGAUAAAAAUCAGUUUUGAACUGUUGAACAAAUCUGUUCAAAAAUAAAAUAAAUUUGUAUAAGCAAAUUAAGUCAGCCACUUUUGUACUAGAAAAUAUACUAUAGUAACAAAUACGAAAAUCAGAUUUUAGGUAAAAGAAAAAAAAAAAAACUUUAGGUAGAGCAUGUGUAUAACUGUAUAAGGCCAAACACGGAGAAAUACAGAGCAACUACUAACAGGGUUUGCAAAACACGCUUAACUGAAAAUUUUAUAUCAUAACAUACGUCACGAUAUGAAACUUAAAAUUACUAUUAAGAUAUCUAGAGACUAGAGAUACUGGGUGAUCUAAAAACAUCCAUUAAUUUAACUCGGAUCCCAGCUACACCUUUCCCUGCACUAAACUCUACUACACCAAGCAAAAGCUCCCGUUUUUAUUAAGUAAACCAUACAUAAAAGAAAACCGAAAAGAAAAGAAGAUCAAAGGAAGAUAGGUAGCACCUAAGGUUCACUAAAUUCUGAUAACGAGAUACAAAAGGGUGUGCAGCCCACAUGUAACUUUGUGUCUAUAUCCCAUGUGAGGAACAGCUCCCUUUCAAAGCUCAUCUUUUCCUUUUUCUUGCUCAUCUUGUCCUUGUUCUUGCUGAGCAGGUUUAUCUUGUCCUUGUUCUUGCUGAGCAGGUUUGUCCCGGUUCUUUUCGAUGAAUUCUAUGAUGUCUUCCUUGGUCCUACCCCCUUCGUAUUGUGAUAACUUUCCACUUGCUGACCUGAAGUACACGGUUGGAUAACCUUGGACAUCAAAGGUUUCACUUGGGAUAUCGUUGGCAGUUGCAUCCUGGAAAGUGACAUAAGACAUGCAGAAUAUAAUUAGCAAACAAAAAAACCUAGGACUAUAAUUUCAUUAAAACGCAUUUCCUAACUGCACAGAUACACUCCCAGCUUUUUUACCACAGCUUUCAGUUUCAGCUGUCAAGGCUAUACUUCUUGAAGCAUCGAUUGAAACAAAUAUAAUCGAAGCUGAAUACUAGAUGCAUUUCUUACCAGUUUUGCAAUAACAACAUCAGCAUCACUUUGAUAUGAGAUAGCAACUUCGUCCAAUAUUGGAGCCAACUGUUUGCAAUGACCACACCAGGGAGCAUAAAACUCCAGCAGAACUGUAAGGUGUUUGGGUUAGCAGUUAUAAUAGUGGAAUGAUAAAGGCAAAUCACUAAUUAACACAAAUGAUGUCUGAAGGAUAUAAUCACAGAUACAUAACAGAGUAUCAGAAGGAUAUCACAUAACUUUUCAUUAAAAACACGUUUGUUCCUUCAUAUAGUUUGCAACCAAUAAUGUGAUAUUUUUUGUUAGAGCACAGUGAAUGCCAAAAUCUAUCUGAUAUCCAUGGAAUAAAACCAAAUAAAAAAAGAAGUAAAGUACAUACCAUUCUUCCCAGAUUUGAAAACAAUGUCCUCAAGACUGUUCCCAACUACCACUUUAACAGGUUCAUCGUUAGCUUCAGGAAUGGGUUCAGACUUCACAAAUGGUGCAACAUUACCAUCCUGAAAUAUUCAGAAAGAAAAUGUUAAAAUUUAUAAUUUUCAAGACAAAUAAUAGUCACAAUUAGACAACACAAAAUUAAAGAGUUCACUAAACUGAUAUAUCCCAAUCACUAAAAUAAGAUGCCAGAUUAAAUUAGGCGAAAGCAAUAUGCUACUAAAAGAAAUAAGAAUAACCUUGUACGCCUUCAACCAAGUUGGAAUGUGAUCAGCUUCCAAAUUGGGUUUAAAAAACUUUUUCCCGUCAUUGUGUUGAAUGAUAAUUAGAGGUACUUGUUCUUCUUUCAGUCCAAAAUACUACAAAGAGAAGCCAUACUCAAUGUCAAAAAAAAUAAAAUUCAUAUUGAUAUUAAGCAGAGAAUAGCUACAGAAUUUACAUAUUUUGAUACAAACCUGGAAAGCACCUUGACUAGACUCAACAUCUCCCACCAAAAAGCUUACACCCUGUUGUUUAUGUUGCUCAGCAGCUUCACGGUAUUUUGAUUUGAAAGAUUCAGCACCUUCGGCAGUGAAGUUGAUGAACAACAUUGCCUAACAAUAUCAAAACUUUAGUUUAGGUUUCUUGAACACAGUAUAAAAUGGGGAGAAAAUCAAAACAAAGGAAAUAAUAAAUAUUUUGGAAUAGAAAAUGAGGUGAAAGGAAACAAAUUCAGGAAAAUGCUAUGAAGUUCAGAAUGGUAGGCUGAUGGGGAGAACACUAAACAGAAAGUGAGGUUUAUAGUUAUCAAUCUCGGAUAGAUGCCAGCUCCGAAAAUGAUAUAGCAGGACGCGGGAAUGCCACAAUUUUAAAUAUUAUAGUACAAAAUAAAAAAUUUGAGGGCGAGCCCUGGUGCAGCGGUAAAGUUGUGCCUUGGUGACUUGUUGGUCAUGGGUUCGAAUCCGGAAACAGCCUCUUUGCAUAUGCAAGGGUAAGGCUGUGUACAACAUCCCUCCCCCAUACCUUCGCAUAGCAAAGAGCCUCUGGGCAAUGGGGUACGAAGUUUAAUACAAGAUACAUAAUAAGUCACUUUCACCAUCAAUCUAGGAUCAAUAAGAACAUAAUAAUGGGAAAAAAGAUUAAAGAAGAUAAUGAAAUUAAUUGAAAAAGAACAAAACAGAUCGGACGAAAAUUAGUCAAAUGUGAACUGGGAAGUCUAAAGGAAAGGAAGAAGAAACAUAGGAACAUUAGUAACAAAAAAAAAGUACUGUAAAGCGUGAAGGAAUAAAGGUCAAAACAGAAGAAACACUUUGUGCAACGGUCAAGGAAGAAGGCUUUGAAACCCUAUGUUUUUUAUGCAAAAAAAAUGGCAUUAGAAAAUGUGGUAGAAAUCACAAUUGAAUCCAAAAAACCCAGACAUCGUUUCAGGGGUAAAAACGAGGUUUUGAAGUCUAUGUCAUGGUAGUGCGACUAUAGCAGGCAAAGCCCCCAGUACCCCAAUGGCAGCUAUUUAAAUCCACUCUGUGAUCCUUUGCUAUAGUGUUUGUUGACAACAUGGUGGGGUUGAAUAAAUAUAAAAUGCAAUUGCAAUAGUGUAAUUAAUAAUAAAUACUCCGCUCCAAUAUUGAAAGAAUAAAAUAGACUUAGAUAGCUUCUUACCUUUGCAUUGGGACUGUUGAAGAAUUUGGCAACGAAAGGGUGAUUGCUCGGAUCAUUGUUAAAGACAGUAACAACAGGGGUACUAGAUUCCUCAACAAAUUUCUCUAGAGCUUCCACAUUGAAAUCCUUCAAGCGCGAGACAAUUUUGUACACAACCGAAAUGAGAUAAACACAUAAAGAUAAGAUUGCAAAUUCAAUCCGCAGAAAUCAACACUACCUGGAAGUCAACAAAAAGUUCAUCGAAUGGCUUGAACAACCUAACUACGGGACCAGAAACUGAUGACUCUCCUCUUGGAAGGUGUUUGGCAUUCAGAGUGUGACCGAAGUCAUAGUCAGAACGCAACUUCUCUGCUAAGGCAGAAAAGUUGUCAAACUCCUCUCCAGAAAAUUUCGGGAAAACUCCAACCUGAAAACAUAGGAAGACAUUAUUACAGACCAAUAUGAUUUGAAAUAAAGCAAAAACGAAACAAUCGGUCACUUACAAUAGCAACUUUAUUUUCACCAAUGAAAGCAGUAGCUUCAUCAGCAGAUUUAAUUUCAGUUGAAGCAGGACCACUUUGUUUCUUCAAAUAGUCAACGAUGCCAUCUGCUUCACGGGGACCUUUGUAUUCCUGAACAUUCUUUCCCCCAUUUCUCAGAAUCUUAAUUGUUGGGUAUCCCCUAACAUCAUAUUGAGAUGCAAGGUCUUUGUUCUUCUCCUCAUUGGCAUCAAUUUUAGCCAAAACAACCGGAGGAUCAUGACUACUCAAGAUAGAAGCAGCUUUCUCAUACUGCAGAAACAGAUAUUCCAGAAAUUCAUCGUUUGCAUAAUCUUACCAUAUAAAUUCAAAGGAAACCCCAAAAUUAAAGGAGAAACACAAUUACCUCGGGAGCAAGCUUCUUACAGUGGCCACACCUAGAAAGAAAGAAAAAACAAAAAUCAUACGAAAAUCAGAAAAUCGAAAUGCACUAAUAUUGAUAACAAUCGAUCUCCAUGAAAUCGAUUUUGACCAAUUGAUUUAAAAUGAAAAAUCGAGCACUAACACAAAACGAAUAAACUGUAAAAAUUAAACGAGAGUAAAAUGCAGACAUCAGUAUAGACACAAAUUUAUGACAGGAAAUCAACAAAAGGUAAGAUCUAAAACAAAGUGGAAGCAAAUGUAACAGAUCAUGACAAGUAAAGUAAGCAUCAACCAGGGACAAAAAAGAGCAGAAACAAAUGACAGAAUCGAAACAUACCAUGGAGCGUAGAACUCGACGACGAUGAAAUCGUGCUUGCUGACAGUGUCGUGAAAGUUAGAGUGAUCCAAUGUGAGUACGAACUCUUUCUCCGAUGAUUCCUCAGCGGAGAUCUGAAAAGGAAGAAGGAGAGAAAGAGCAAACACGAAGAAGAAGCACGUCGAAACCCUACCCGCCAUUGUUCCUCUGAAAAUGCUAUGAAAAAAUUUGGGCAUCGUAGACAGUCACGAGGAGGGGGUUUUGAAGGAGGAGAAACAGAACCCGAAAUGCAUAACGUAUGACACGUGCGACAUUUUCUCAGAUAUUUUGGACUUUUGAUACAGUGUGACGAAUCUCAUGUCCCCACGUUGGCACUCUCUCUUACGUGGCGAAAUAUCAUUCGACAAUUCUUGUCACACCAAUGUUUUUCUCUUUUUUUCAUAUUUUUAGGUUAUUUUUUUUUCUUUUCAGUCAAUAAAUAAAUAAAAGUUUCCAAUGCUUUUCUUCAGUGCAUAAUGAAGAGGAAUUUUUAAAAUAGGGGCUAUAAUUAAGUGAUAAACUGAUUAUGCUUUUCAGGGUGCUGAUCCUGUGUAGGUGAGGUGUAUGUUAAGAUGAGAUGGAUUUGAAUUUGAAUGCUUGCGUGGUCAAUUUGUUGUCUUGUUGAUUAAGGGAAAGAGUUUACUGUUGAUAAUAUCAUUUGACUUUUUUUUGUUAAGUUUCUUAACAGCAGUUAAUACAUCAUUAAAUGGUUGACUACUAACUUGGCAAAACAAAGAAGCAAAUCGUUGAAUAUCGAAAUGGAUGUGUAUUCUAUAUACUGUAGUACUAGUAUUCUUCAAUAAAUUCAAAAUUUUGUCAAUUAUGUUUAAUAUCUUCAUUUGAAUAUUUAAUUUUCUUAUAUAUUUAUCCUUUUCAAUUUUAUUUUUUUAUUUAUAUUUAUAAAUUAAAUUUUAAUAGUUUUUAAAUAAAUUAUUAUUGAUAAAGCAUCAUCUUAUGUCGUAAUUUUAAUUAUUUAUUAUAAAUUUCAAAUGUAAUUUUUACAUUUAAAAAUAUUCAUUCAUUAUGAAUCUAACUGUAAUAUAAUUUAAAUAUUAAAAAUAUUUUUUUAUGAUCUUUAAUUAUAUAAAAAAAUAAUAUUUAUAAUGCACAACUUUAUUUUAAAUUACAAUUAUAAUAAACAAACAACUGAUAAUUGAAUUCUCCUUAUCUUUUGGAUUCUUUUCUCUAAACUUUAAAAUAUAUCAUCUUUUAUACUUUAUCUUUUUAAAUUUCAAUAAAAGUAUUAAUAAGAUAUAUUUUUAUAUCCACUAGUUGUUAAAAAAAAUCGUCUCUAAAGAUUAAAAAAUUAUUUUCUAAAAUUAAGGAUUAAAAUGAUUUUUUUUAAUUUAGGACGUUAAAACAAAUUUUACUCCAAAUUUCAUAAAUAAAAAUAUAAUUAAAAAUGAGAGAAAUGUCAACUUUCCUUUUUGGUUUUUAGGAGUAGGCAAUAUGUUUUAUAGUAAAUGCAUGUUGGGUUUUAAAAAAAUCAAUUCAAUUUUAAAUAUAAAUUAUAUUAAAUGCAAAAUAAAAUAAUUCUGACCUACAUCAAUAAAGAUUAAAAUUUUAAAAAAAUUGAAUGAACAUGUACUUGGUCCCAGUAAUAAUGAGUUCAAGAUGCUUAAAUUAAAGGUUACACGUUCAAAUUUUGAUUAUUACAUGUAGUAAAAAACUGAUUGAAAGGGAUAAUAUACUUUUGAUUUUAAUGUAUAUGUAUGGAGAAUAUAACAUAAUUUUAUAUUGAUAAUAAGUUAUGACGGUUUAAAUUAAUUUAAUAUAAUUAUAUUUUAAAAGUCAACAAAUUUUUCAUAAAAUAAAUUAUAAUUAAACAAAUGUAUAAAACUUUUUAUAUUAUUAAUAUAUAAACUUUUUUCUCGUAUGUACUAUUAAGUGUCAUCAAAUUCUCUAAAAUAAAUUAGUUUGGAUAAAUCAUCGAAAGCUCCUCACAAUUGCAUGUAUGUAUAAAAAAAAAUAGAAGAAAAGUUUAUGGUAACAGAGAAGAGUUUUUUAGCAAGUACAAGCAAUAAAUUGCAUUUUUACUGUGAGAAAUGUUAGUUAAUAAUUAGUUAUUUACUGCAAUCAUUUGAUCUCAACAAAAUAAAUAAUAAUAAGAAGUAAUUCUAAAAGAGUUAUUCUUGAAGUAAGAAAAUAUCUUUUCAUUAAUUUUUUUAAAUAUAUAAUUUAUCUAAUAAUUAAAUUUAUAAUAAAUAAUUAUAUUUAAACAUAUAAAUAAAUUUUCAUAUCUGUGAUCAAUAAUUUAUAUUGAAAUACAAUGUUAUUUUAAAUUAUUGAUAAUUUAUUUUAAAAAAUAUAUUCAAAUUAAAAUUACAACUAAAUAUAUUGAAAAUGAUAAAUUAAAAGAAAUAUGAGAAUAAGAAAAAUCCUCAAAGACACUAAUGUUAAAGAAAAAUUUCUCACAAGAAGAAUCCUUAAAGACACUCAUGUUAAAAAAAAUCCUUAAUGACAGCUAAAGAGUAACUAUUUAUCAGUUAAUUUUUAAACAUGUAAACGUACUCUGUUUAGGUAACAAGCAAGUAUGGCCAAGUAGGGAGAAAUAUUCUUCAACUAUUACUAAAAACGGGUUUGUGAACUACGCAUCUUUAGUGUGUGUUUCAUUUAUAUUUUGAUUAAAAAUAAUUUAAACCAUUAACAUAAUUAAAAUAUCAAAUAUUCCUAUUAAUAUCAAUUGCAAAUUUUAUAUUAAAACACAUAAAUUAAUUUUAAUCAUAGACCAACAACAACAAUUAAUUAAAGUAAUAAUGAUUUGUAUCUCUUAAUUAAAUAGUUUAGGAUUCGAAUCUUGUUCUCGAUAUGAAAUAUAUCACAUUAGGGGGGAAAUAAUACUCAUGAUUCUUGAGGAACAUUAAUUAAUAAUUGUAUAUUCUGAAAUGUUUAUAUUAUUUUAAAAAAAUAUUAUCCAAUUGAAAGUUAUAAAAUAGUGUAAUAAUUGUUAAAAUUACAACGAUAUAGUUUGAUCAUUCUUCUUCCUUAAAUAACUUUAUAUAUAUAAAUUAUACAUUGAAAGUGUAAAAUUAUUUUAUAUUGUUGUCCAAUUAUAAUUAUUGAUUAAUAUAACUUUUAAAAUAAUUAUUAUAAAACUUAUCAUAUUGUGAUUAUACAUUUAUUUUCUACUAUGCAUAAUCUAUUUUCUCUAUCAUUAAUCUACUUCAUAAUUAGUUAUAUUUUCCAUUGCUGAAACGACCAGUGGGCAUUCCAAAAUCAAUUUCAUAGAGAUCAUGGUGAAAUACCCAUCAGAAAGGAUAUUACACAAAAUGAAUUAGAUCAAGUGUUCAAGCAGGGGCCUCUAUUUUGUUCUGGUUCUUUUACUCAGAUGGAGAUACAGUGAGUUUUAUAAUGUGCAAGGGGGUUAAGGUGAAAUAUCCAAAUAGGUUCCACCAACUGUUACUCUUGUUGAAGCGCAUAUAAUGGGCCCACCAAGAAUUUUCAUAAUAUUGUGUGAUAAAACAUAGCUUAAUUUUUUAGUAGGCUAGAAAACUAUGUUUGCCCUCUGCUAAAAUAUAGCUCCAUUUUUUAUUAUAUAGCAUAAAAAAAAAUCUUAGUACAUGUCACAAAUCGUAAGCAUAAAGGCAUCACCCGUGAGUGAAAAUGAUUUAGUCAAUAAAUUGAUAAGGGGGGUAGCCGUGCAAUUAUGAAAUGAUCCCAGUCUUCCCAAUUGAUUCUAAAAAGCGAAAGGAGGAGCAUUGGACUAAAUUCAUGGUGGAACUGGAAAGUGCUCAUUGUUGCAUUAACAUUGACAGAAUUGGUAGCCAUUGGUAAUUAGUGGUAAUGUUAAUGUGCGUCAGAUUGUGAAUUUAUUGACGAAUUUAAACAAGCCUUGUAGUGGAGCCAUCUACACGCAUUCACUCUUGUGAUAUAGAGUAAAUGAGUUCCAAAUGAGAAUUUGUUGAAUCUAAAAAAUCUUAACACUAGCAUUAGCAUUUUCAUGAGUUUUAGCUUUCAUUGCAUUAAUGAAUGGAUGAGGAUAACGAUAAUUAGACAAGUUUUGAAAUUUAAAAAAUUAAUAAUUUAUUUGUUGAAUCAUUACAUGUUUUCUGAAUUUACACUAUAAAAAACUUGAUAUGACCCUUAAUAAAAUCAUCAAAAAUAAACUUAUUGACGUGAAAUGCCUUGUGAUGUUAAUGAAUAGUAAUCAAACUACCCUUACUAUCAAUAAUAAUUUAUUUGUGAAUAGUAAUCAAACUACCCUUACUCAUCAGUUCUCCUAAAAUUAGAGUAAGAUUGAGUACAGUGUGUUGUAAGCUGUUACGCUAUUAUAUCCGAAUAACAGGGUUAAAAAAAGAAAACUAUAUAUUUGUUUAAAGGACAAAAUUGGUUAUUAAUUAAAGUAUAAAGUUAGAUUGUUAUUUUUAAAAUAAAUUUUAUAACCGGUUUUGGCUAUAACCAAUUAUAUAUAACUGGGGCUUUGGUUAUAACCGGUUAUAUAACCAGAUUUUAAAAAAUCAAAACCAGUUUUGUUUUUACCAAACCAAAACCCAAACGGUAUAGAAUCCAAUUGUCAUGAGCUCCCCUAAUUCCAAUGAAAAUGGGCAACAAAUGAUCUACAGACAGUUAGCUACCUUUUCAAAGCUCAUUUUUUCCUUGUUCUUGUUGAGCAGGUUUGUCGCGGUUCUUUUC
rnacentral:lncRNA from 1 species